UUCAACAAAAUAACUUUCUGUUAGAACUCAGUUUUCCAGUUUGUUAAACACUGCCGCAUAUUAUCUUCUCAACUUAUCAAACUUACACCCAAGGUAAAAGACCAGUAUCAAAGCAGCUAAAACUAUUAUGAUUACUAAAUGCACUGUAAAAGAGACAGCUCACCAAAAGUUUAUUAGAAAUGGAAAUACACUUCAGAUCUCCCAAUCAUUUCGUAAUCUUCCACCAACCUCAAGCUCAACCCCAGAAUAAGCUGCUUUCCCCCCUUGUUCACACCAAAUCCUAAGAAAGCGAGGACAAAAUGUGUUUCUUUUUUUUCCCCUCCCUUCCUCUUUUUCUUUUUGGAGGCACAAAAAUUGGGGUGAGGACUAUCUUUUUUUUUCUUUUUUUUGGUGGCGGCCUUUUUGGGUUUUUUUUUUUUUUUGUGGGUUUGUGGUUGGUGUUUGGAGAGGGGGGGGGGGGGGCGGGUUUUAUAGAGCGUCCUCCUCAUCAUUCUAGUGAGUAGGAGUGCACUUACAUGGUGAGAUAAAUCAGCAUCCAUAAUGACCACAAAAUUCCCUGAGGCAUGCUUCAGGCCAUGGAUGUAAGCCGUACCUGAAACUUAACUAAAUUAAUGAUCCCUUUUGCUAGUUCAAAAACUUAAACCAAGGCCGGCCAAAGAGAUACCUAAACCAAGCUUCGUAGGUCUAGCCCUCAACGGCUGGAUUAGUAGAUAGCCUUACAUAAGUAGACCUUUCAAAGAGAUAAGCAUAGGCAAAGCAUCAACAACAUUGCGAAUUAAUACUAAAGAGGACUUACAAUGCGAUCCUCUCCAUAGACAGAUUGCAGUUGUUUAACAAUAUCCUGAGUCCCAUCUGGACUUCCAUCAUCCACAACAAUAAUCUCAAAAUUGACAUUCCUAGCCAGGUAAGGACCAAUUGUCAGAUACAAGUAUAGAUCAUGAAGAGAAUGUUGUUUGUCAUUGUUUUAGUGUACUGUUUUUCACAUCUUUAAGUAAUAUCUAUCAUCUAAUGUCAAACCAAAACCUAUGAAGCACAAUCUCAAAUAGUUAAUUUCGUACAACAAUUUGGUCCAUGUUAUUCACAUAUUCAGUUGCAAGUCCAAAGCUUCACCUUCUUACACCUAAUGGUUCCCACACCCACUCAUAACUAUAGAGCUGAAUAUGCUCACGGCUAAUCAUCUAGAAGUUUGAGUGGACAAACAAGCAAACUUUUUCACAGCAAAUCAGUUUUAAUCAGCUUAUCCUGGGCAUAUGUAUAAGAAAAACUACACUUUGUUACCAAUUACCAGUCAUGAUUGAGAGAAAAAAGUAUCCAUACAAAAUAUGUGCUACUGUGUGCAUUGCUUAUCAAUUUUCAAACAAUUCUGAAGCUAAGAUUUUGAUACUUCGCAUGAUAUCUAAAUCAAAUACCCAGAAACACUUCUUUCCAAAUUGUAAGUCAAUCACACACACAAAAGCACAAAUAAUAAUAAUAAUAAUAAUAAUAAUAAUAAUGCUAUAAUAAUAGAAAGACUAAUAAUAAUAAUAAAAGCAAAGAACUGUUCCUGUGUAACAUGGAGAUAAUUAUUUCAGCAGUUCAUAGAUGAUUCUGAUGACCAAGUAAUAAGCUGUAAGAUCAACAAAAACACUUCAUUCAAAUAAACAUAAAUAAACCUUUUGAUGCAUGCAACAAAAGAUUUAGAACGUGAAAUGAAAAAUUCACAGAAGAUAAGUGUAAAAGCCAAAAGUGCAAUGAAAGAAGCCACUAGACAAACAAAGCAGAGGCAAUGGAACAUGCAUCAUCUGUUUUAUACAUAUAUUCACAGAAAAGGAAAAGGAGAACAUGCAUCAUCAUGGAUAACUUGGUAACGAGAGAGAGAGAGAGAGAGAGAGAGAGAAAGAGAGGGUACGGGAGAUGCUUGAAGAUGAGAUAAACAAGGAGAGCAAUGUUGAGGCGCUCAUUGUAGGUGGGGAUGAUUAUACUAUACUUAUUGCUAUUCUCCUUUUGCUCAUUGCCCAUAUUCUUUCUGCAUCAAAAUCCCUCCAACCCCUAGAAAGCGCAAAUUUUUAUUGAACUGGGUUAGAGAGAGAGACGGAAGGCAAAAACAAAAACACUUACAGCUAAUGCAAGUUGUAGGUAACAACUGUUAGUAUUUCAAUUCAAACUAAAGUUCCAUCCUAUUAGUUUUGGUUGUUUGUGAUAAUUCAACCCUCUAAUACGUUAAAGAGCUAUACCCAACAAUCCACUUGUCUCAGACUGAGCUGGAAAAGAUGGAGCUCAUGUGUUCUUCUCAGCAGCUUACUCCACUUAGGUACUUGAUCCCAUCAACCAAAUUGGAUAGCAAAACAAUUUUGGUACAGCUUUAAAAGGCAUAUUUUUCUACCGCAUAAGAUUUUCAUUUAGCUCAUUCUUCUACUUGUCAAAUUAUGCCUCUUCAAUUCCCUUUUGUGUCAGCUGAAUUUCCAAAAGCAGUAUAACUAUCCUAAUUCCUUAUCAGUGAGCAAUAGCUCUAACAAAUUCUUAAAAUUUGACGGAAUAACACGACCGAUCUGAUUAAAAAAAAUCUUCUUUUAGUAUAAUAUGAAGGAAGCCCAUCUUUUCAAGUUCAAUUUCGAUUAGUUCAAGUAAAUUACAUAUUUCAUGCUCAGUAAGAGCAGUAAAAUAUCGCUGAUGUCCAAGAAUAUAUCCAAAACUUUUCGAUACGGGUUGGUAGCUGCUGUAACUACGUGAGACUGUUCGAAGGAAUAGCUCUAACAUAAGGUACCCAAAAUGUAUAAAACAGUCAAUAACGAUUACACAAAGAUUCCCAUACAAAUUCAGCUCUCCAUCUAAACUAACUGAAGAAGCGUAAUGAAAAGCUAGGAAAUUCAAUCAGUUUAACAACUUGAACUGAAAAUCAGAAACGAUCUAAUCUUAAAGACGGCAACUUUAUAUGGUUUGGAAGCUUGAAUUAUGCGCAAAUGGCCGAGACUUUGAGAAGACAAUUAUGUUAUCCAAAUAAUAAAAUAGGCUGAUACAAAAGAGAAGAAUAAAUACAACCUAGAAAGAAAGUAAUAAUCGAAAAUAACAAUAAUAACAAUCCGAGGCUUGUGAACACAAUUUCCUUAAAACAGAUUCGCCCCCUCCAGGUAGAGUGCUUGAGGUUGAGUAGGCGUCUGUCUCCCAGGAUACAACGGAUUAAAGGUGAAUAUGUCAGCACCAAACGUUCUUCACCCCAGCGAACUCGAACUAGAGCAAUAUGGAACACUAUAAAAGAUGCAGAUGCAAGAAGGAAAAAGAGAGAGAGUGUACUUGCUUUUGAAACAACAGGAGAUAUUUAUAGAUGCUAGCUUAGGGUGACUGUUCGAAAUUGGCAACAAGAGUUAAAUUCCAGAUAAUUAUCUUCACGUUUAUGAAAGGACCACAUUCAUGUACAUACAUGUAUCUCAAUAAGAUAACCCCAAAGGAAUCCUAUCCAAAAUUAUGUAUCAAUAAUUAAUACACAUGAAUCCUAUCCGAAAUCAUGUAUCAAUAAUUAAUAUACAUGAAUGAAAGAUAAUUAUCCUGAAUUCUUUCAAGAGUGCCAUUAUGAGAACAAUUUUCUCAUUCACUCUACAAUGAAUAUAGCCAUUUUUCCAACAAUCCCCCACAUGAAUGGAAAAUUUGUUUUGAUUUGACUCUACAGUAGUGUUCCACGACUGAAACCUGCAUAAGAUAGGUUGGUGUUACCCAUUGAAUCUUCUCUUGUGAAAUACACUUACUUUACUAGCAAUCCAGUAGACAUGAUGUCUUUGAACUGUCUCGCUUUUUAGUGUAAAUGAACCAUAUAUUUCACACAGGAAUCAUGCUCCAUUAGUUCAGUUCUCAUAGUUAUGUUCGUUUUGGCCAUGAACAUCAACCUGGUUCAGCAAGAGUUUUUAAGAAUUGAGCCCUAAACAAUUCUCUUUUGAAGCGGCCCCACUUCACUCUCACAUAGGUGAUUUACUUAAGUCUUCAGUAAUAAAUUACUUUACUUAAGAAUCAUUAAAGCACACAUUGUGCUAUCCUUAAUUCUCCUUUGCGUCAUUGUUUCAUAACGGAAUGGGUUUAGGGGUAUCCCCCCACAAUGACUACGCUAAGUCCUUAUAAUUAGGUUGUCCCUUUGAACCUAGAUCUUGGGAUCUCCAGUCAGCUAGGUUGGGUUUCCUUUAUAACACUUAGCCUUCCAUGGGCUUUAGUCCCAUUCCCUUUGCCAUUUUUGCAACCAACUCUCUAUUCAAUCCUUUAGUUAGCGGAUCCGCUAUGUUAUCCUUUGAUUUCACAUAAUCAAUAGAGAUAACUCCUGUUGAGAGUAGUUGUCUAAUGGUAUUAUGCCUACGACGUAUAUGUCUAGACUUACCAUUAUAUAUGUUAUUCUGUGCUCUUCCAAUUGCUGAUUGACUAUCACAGUGAAUACAAAUUGGUGGCACAGGUUUCUCCCAUUUUGGAAUGUCUUCAAGGAAAUGGUGGAGCCAUUCAGCUUCUUCUCCACAUUUGUCCAAGGCAAUGAACUCAGAUUCCAUUGUAGAUCUAGCUACAAUAGUUUGUUUAGAAGACUUCCAAGAUACUGCCCCACUGGCAAGUGUGAACACAUAUCCACUUGUGGAUUUUGAAUCCUUUAUAUCAGAUAUCCAAUUUGCAUCUGCAUACCCUUCUAAAACAGCAGGGUAUCUAGUGUAAUGCAGUCCAUAGUUCCGAGUGUACCGUAGGUAUUUAAGUACCCUUAAAAUUGCUUUCCAAUGAUCAGCACUCGGAUUGCUUGUAAAUCUGCUCAAUUUGCUUACUGCAUAUGCAAUGUCAGGUCUAGUACAACUCAUUAAGUACAUUAGACUGCCAAUGAUUCUUGAGUAUUCUACUUGAGAAAUACUCUCUCCUCUAUUCUUAGAUAGAUGGAAACAAUUGUCUAAUGGAGUUUUUGCAAUUCCAGAAUCUUCCUUAUUGAAUUUUUCUAGAAUCUUGUCCACAUAAUGAGUUUGACUCAAGACCAAUCCAUCUGAUAUUCUUGUAAUUUUAACUCCUAAAAUUACAUCAGCAAGCCCCAUAUCUUUCAUGUCAAAUUUUGAAUUCAACAUAUCCUUGGUAGACUUGACCAUUUUGUCAUUACUACCAACAAUAAGUAUAUCAUCUACAUAAAGACAUAAGAUGACAUAGCCAUUGUCUGUUUCUUUAGUGUAGACACAUUUGUCACACUCAUUUAUUCUGUAUCCAUUAGUUAUCAUUGCAUUGUCGAACUUUUCAUGCCAUUUCUUUGGCGCUUGUUUUAGUCCAUACAAUGAUUUGACUAAUUUACAAACUUUAUUUCUUGCUCCCGGAGUUAUGAAACCCUCAGGUUGCUCCAUAUAGACUUCUUCAUCUAAAUCACCAUUUAAGAAGGCCGUCUUUACAUCCAUUUGAUGUAUCUCCAGAUUUCUCAAUGCAGCGAUAGCAAGUAUCAUUCUGAUAGAAUUUAUUCUCGUAACAGGAGAAUAAGUAUCAAAAUAAUCCAAACCUUCUUGUUGCUUGUAUCCUUUGAUUACAAGUCUGGCUUUGUACUUAUCGACAGAGCCAUCAGGUUUCAUUUUCCUUUUAAAGAUCCAUUUGGACCCUAAAGGUUUACAACCAGGAGGAAGAUCCACUAACUCCCAUGUAUGAUUCUGUAAAAUAGAAUCAACCUCACUUUUUAUUGCUUCUUUCCACAAAAAUCCUUCAGAAGAACUUACAGCUUCUGUAUAGGUUUGUGGUUCCUUUUCUAAUAGAAAAGUUGUAAAAUCAUCUCCAAAUGAUUUUUCCACUCUAGCCCUUUUGCUACGUCUCGGUUCAUCUUGUUGAAACAAGUCAUGAUCAUGUUUUUCUUGAUUCAUAACUCCAUGUGUUCGUUUUGAUGAACUUGAUGCACCAAUCAAUUUACAAGGAAACACAUCUUCAAAGAAUGAAGCAUUCCUUGAUUCCAUUAUCGUAUUUUUGUGUAUAUCCGAAAUUUCUGAAUUAUACACAAGAAAUCGAUAAGCAGUACUAUUAUGUGCAUAGCCUAUAAAGAUACAAUCCACAGUUCUAGGACCUAUCUUUAUUCUCUUUGGUGCUGGAAUAGCCACUUUUGCAAGACACCCCCACACUUUCAAGUAUUUGUAGGAUGGUCUCCUACCUUUCCAUAACUCAUAAGGAGUUUUAUCUUGUUUUUUCCGGGGUACCCUAUUUAAAAGGUAAUUGCUUGACAAAAUAGCUUCACCCCACAUAUUUUGAGGUAAUUCUGAACUUAUUAACAUCGCAUUCAUCAUUUCCUUUAGUGUGCGAUUUUUCCGUUCAGCAACACCAUUCGAUUGUGGUGAGUAAGGUGCAGUUACUUCAUGAACAAUUCCAUAUUUUGCACAGUCAUCACCAAUAGGUGUUUCAUAUUCACCACCUCUAUCACUUCUUAACCUUUUAAUUCUCUGGUUAAGUUGAUUUUCAACUUCAUUCUUGUAGAGAAUGAAUUUUUCCAAGGCUUCAUCUUUACUUUUGAGCAAAUACACAUAACAGUAUUUUGUGCAAUCAUCAAUGAAAGUGAUAAAAUAUUUAUUACCACCUCUUGUUUGAACAAAUUUCAAAUCACAGACAUCUGUGUGAAUCAAUUCAAGGGGUUCGGUGUUUCUUUCAAUUGUUUGAAACGAUGACCUUGUUAAUUUUGCUUCUACGCAAAUCUCACAUUUAUGGUUUGAAUUGAUGUGAAAGGAAGGAAUAUGAUCCAAGUUAAUUAGCCUACGCAAAGUAUCAUAAUUAACAUGACCUAGUCUACCAUGCCAUAAAUUGGAAGACUCAAGCAAAUAAGCAGAAGACUUAUUCUUAUUAUUCACAAUAGUCAUUACAUUCAAUUUGAACAACCCAUCGGUUGUAUAUCCUUUCCCUACAUACAUCCCAGAUUUGGAUAAUAUAACUUUAUCCGAUUCAAAAACCAUGCGAAAGCCAUGCUUGUUCAGCAACGAUCCAGAAACAAGGUUCUUGCGGAUUUCUGGCACAUACAGAACAUCGUUCAAAGUCAAUGUUUUGCCAGAAGUCAUCUUUAGUAACAGCUUCCCUUGACCUUCAAUAGCAGAUGAGGCAGAGUUCCCCAUGAACAUUUUUUCUCCUUCAAUUUUUUCGAAGGUAGUAAACAAGUCUUUGUUUGUGCAAACAUGUCUUGUAGCUCCAGUGUCAAUCCACCAUUCUUUCGGAUUUGACCCUAUCAUAUUUACUUCAGAAACCAUAGCAGUCAGGUUCAUGUUUUCCAUGUCUCCCUCGAUUCCAUCAAGCAAAUUUGUUUCAUGCUUCUUCUUCUUUGGAAGCUUACAUUCAGUGGACUUGUGACCUUUUUUGUCACAAUUGAAGCACUUACCUUGGAAUUUCUGCUUAGAGAUUUUCCCUUUUGCCCCAAGAUUUCGAGUUGGCUUUUUGCCUUUGGAGUUUUGCCCUUGCUUAUACUCCACAAUAUUUGCUUUAGCAUCAAGAAAAGUUGUUGCCUUGCAAUCAGAACCCCUGUUGUCUUCUUCAAUUCGAAGUCUAACGAUAAGGUCCUCCAUACUCAUCUCUUUGCGCUUGUGCUUGAGAUAGUUCUUGAAAUCCUUCCAUCCAGGAGGUAGCUUCUCAAUAACAGCAGCUACUUGAAAGGUUUCACUCAAAAUCAUGCCUUCUGCUAGAAUCUCAUGCAAGAUAAUCUGAAUUUCUUGCACUUGACUGAUAACAGUUUUGGAAUCCACCAUUUUAUAGUCUAGAAAUUUUCCAACGAUAAAUUUCUUUGCUCCGGCAUCUUCGGUUUUAUAUUUCCGAUCUAAGGAUUCCCACAGUGCCUUCGCCGUCUUGUGUAUUUGAUACACGUUAUACAGCGAGUCAUGCAAGCAGUUCAUGACAUAAUUUCGACAAAGGAAGUCGGAGUGCUUCCAAGCAUCAAUAGCACUGACAGCUUGUGCAUCAGUUAAGCCUUCAGGCAGCUUUGGAGCAUCCUCACUUAAGAAUCUCGAGAGAUUCAAUGUUGUCAAAUAGAACAACAUCUUUUGUUGCCAUAUCUUGAAGUUCAGGCCAUAGAACUUCUCAGGUUUCUCACUAUGGUUGGUAGACACCAUAGGAGUAAUCUUACCUUCAGGUUGUUUCACAAUUGAGCCAGAGGCAGCGGCAUCAGAAGUAGAAAUAUUGGUGUCUCUUCCUGUAUUGUCAGCCAUUGAGAACCGAAUCUGUUUUAAGACUGUUAUCCAAAUAGUAAAAUAGGCUGAUACAAAAGAGAAGAAUAAAUACAACCUAGAAAGAAAGUAAUAAUCGAAAAUAACAAUAAUAACAAUCCGAGGCUUGUGAACACAAUUUCCUUAAAACAGAUUCGCCCCCUCCAGGUAGAGUGCUUGAGGUUGAGUAGGCGUCUGUCUCCCAGGAUACAACGGAUUAAAGGUGAAUAUGUCAGCACCAAACGUUCUUCACCCCAGCGAACUCGAACUAGAGCAAUAUGGAACACUAUAAAAGAUGCAGAUGCAAGAAGGAAAAAGAGAGAGAGCGCACUUGCUUUUGAAACAACAGGAGAUAUUUAUAGAUGCUAGCUUAGGGUGACUGUUCGAAAUUGGCAACAAGAGUUAAAUUCCAGAUAAUUAUCUUCACGUUUAUGAAAGGAUCACAUUCAUGUACAUACAUGUAUCUCAAUAAGAUAACCCCAAAGGAAUCCUAUCCAAAAUUAUGUAUCAAUAAUUAAUACACAUGAAUCCUAUCCGAAAUCAUGUAUCAAUAAUUAAUAUACAUGAAUGAAAGAUAAUUAUCCUGAAUUCUUUCAAGAGUGCCAUUAUGAGAACAAUUUUCUCAUUCACUCUACAAUGAAUAUAGCCAUUUUUCCAACAAAUUAUUGGGUUUAGGGCUUCGAAUUGGGAGUUUGAUAAUAUUAACGAGAGAAGUUCUCUCUUCUUUCGUCUCUUUCAAAAAACCGAGAAAGCAACUAUUGAUGAACGAGUGAUAGCCUCGUGGGAAUAUAAAAGUCAAUCCUUUGUUACCCGUGUUAAUUAAUGAACUGGGCGGGUUAUUUGGGCCUGGUUUUAUCCAUUUGGAUAUGAGUUUGACCCUUGAGGCUAACCUAGUGGUCAUUGACAAUCUGCGUUAGAAGCUUGCUAUGCUUGUAUGUAAGUAGUAUAGUCCAAUGCGGAUUCUCCAUCUCCUCCCAUCAUCCCUUGUAAAGUUUUAGAUUAACGUUUAAUGUACAUAUAUUUUUAUAUGAUCUAACUUAAAUUUACACCACAUUAUUUGUAUUCACAUUUGAAAUCUUUUAUAUGUAUCAUAAAUGUAGACCUCCUUGUAUAUGAAACGGUAAUCCAAAAACUGUUUACUUCAUUUAUGUGCUAGUAUUUCAUAACAUAUUCAUUUCUUGAAGGUAAUUGCUCUAGUGUUUUUCGAAUAAUCAACGAUGACAACAAUAAAGAAGCAGACUACUCACAAAGAGUGACAGAGAUCAAAACAUCGAUGAUGAUCAAUUCAUCCAAAUAAUUUCAAAGAAGUUCAAAACUAAAAUUACACUAUGCUGUUAAGCUUUAGCUACACUGGCAACACCAGGAUCGCCACAGCACUAAAGUGAGAAAAAUUUGAACCCCAGUUACUGAAAUAUGGUCCACAGAUCAAUCUUCACCAAAUCUUCUUAGAACAUAAAAAGCUAAUCAAUUUCUAUAGCUCAAUGGUUAAAUUAACACAACCCUGACAGAAAAAUCCCAACUUUAGCAGAGAAAUACAACGGCAUUACAAGAAAUGAAUCCUCAAUAAUCUAAGACUUACAAAAUGGUCAAUCCUCUCUUAAUUAACCCCUAAUGCCUCAGGUGGCCCAAAUCUUUUGUGGCAUUACGCGAAUCACAACUAUUACAGGAAACAAGAAAAGGAAAUUAAAAAAAUAAAACCCAAUUUACCAAAAGAUUAAAAGGGCCAGUAUCACGGGCAAACGACAAUUAUAAAUUAAUUAAAAAAAACUCAGAGAGAGAGAGAGAGAGAGAUCAAAUAAAAAGCCAGAGGAGUAUAGCACCUUCGAUUUAGAGGGAAAUGGGAGAGGUCGGAAAAUGUUUAGAGAGAGGAGAGAUGAGGAGCGCAACGGAUCUUCUGUCCCACACCCUGUGCCACUCUCUGUCCCACUUUUUAUUAUAUUGCUAUUUCUCAUUCAUAAACAUCAUGUUUUAGUUCUUUUUUGCUUCCUUAUGAUCCAAUAACUAUUAAUUGAGUAAUACGCAAAAUUUAACAAACUCAAAAAAUCAAAAUACAUAAAAAAUGAGAUUUUUUAUGAAUUUUCUGCUGUAUUUUUUAAUUUUCUAUUAUAUAUUAUUUUUUUGAAGGUGUUGUAUUUAUUUUUUACUUAAUUAAUAGUUAUUGGAUCAUAAGAAAACGAAAAAGAACUAAAACAUGAUGUUUAUGAAUGAAAAAUAGCAAUAUAAUAAAAAGUGGGACAGAGAGUGGCACAGGGUGUGGGACAGAAGAUCCGUUGCGGAUGAGGAGGGUGGUGGUGGACGAUGAUGACGUUGGUCCAACACGCGUUGUCUGAAGAAAGGUUUUAAGGUGACAAGGAAUUAAGGGAGAGGCCCAACGAACGCAGGGUUUGUUGGCGGUAUUACUUCUCCACUUUACUCUUUAGUCUUUUCUGUGUUUCGGAAAAUUUUUACGCUACUAUAAUUGCUUUGAUUAAAAUAAUGGUACAAGGCUAUUUCUUUUUGACCCCUAGAAGUUUGCUAAUUUCUAAAAACAGUAUACUAUUUCACUGUAAUAAUUUAUUAAACACGUACAAAUUAUUGUGCUUGUGAUACUUAACACGUUGAACUCCAAUUCAUAAGUUUUCCUCUCUCCACAUCUAAUUGAUAGACUGUAUUGUAAACCAACUCUCUUGAUUUUGGUGAAAUUUUGCAUGAUCAAGUGAUUACAUCAACUAAUACUACUGAAUCUAGCAUCUUAUUUCUAUUAAUCAAGUGUAGGUUGUAGCAUUCCUGUACAACAUUUGAGUGAUACAAAAUGGGUCAAAUGAACUUGAUAUUGGAGAAAUUUUUGGUUUUUCAUCCAUGACGAUGGGCUAAUUAAAAUUGUAAUAGCCUCGUGGGAAUAUAAAAGUCAAUCCUUUGUUACCCGUGUUAAUUAAUGAACUGGGCGGGUUAUUUGGGGCUGGUUUUUAUCCAUUUGGAUAUGAGUUUGACCCUUGAGGCUAACCUAAUGGUCAUUGACAAUCUGCGUUAGAAGCUUGCUAUGCUUGUAUGUAAGUAGUAUAGUCCAAUGCGGAUUCUUCAUCUCCUCCCAUCAUCCCUUGUAAAGUUUUAGAUUAACGUUUAAUGUACAUAUAUUUUUAUAUGAUCUAACUUAAAUUUACACCACAUUAUCUGUAUUCACAUUUGAAAUCUUUUAUAUGUAUCAUAAAUGUAGACCUCCUUGUAUAUGAAACGGUAAUCCAAAAUUUGUUUACUUCAUUUAUGUGCUAGUAUUACAUAACAUAUUCAUUUCUUGAAGGUAAUUGCUCAAGUGUUUUUCGAAUAAUCAACGAUGACAACAAUAAAGAAGCAGACUACUCACAAAGAGUGAUAGAGAUCAAUACAUCGAUGAUGAUCAAUUCAUCCAAAUAAUUUCAAAGAAGUUCAAAACUAGCAGUAAAACAAUACAAAUGCAACAAAAUUUAAAGUAAAAAACUCUAACACCUUCAGAAUACUAUGAAUGUGGAGUAUGUCGAAACCAUUUAAAAGUUUGUAAAAUUUUCAAUCAGUUAAAUUUGAGAAGUGUAUAUCCUCUUUAUCAUGUACUUUUUGGAAUUUUUUAAUAAAUAGGUCAGAGUUUAUGUCCAACCUUACACCGUUUCUAGGUAAUUUUUUAUUAAAAAAAAGAAAACUAUUUACUUUCACAAAUUCUCAUAAACUAAAAGUAGUUUUAAUAUCUUGUUAUCUUUUCUUCAUGCGGGCCUAUUUGCCAUAACACGUGGACUUGCAAAAUUUACUUUGUCCUGCUUUUUAUUUUUUUUAAAAUCCUUGUUAAAUUUUGCAUAACCUCUUAUUUUCAAGCCAAAACCAUUGCCAUUACCCUUUAGUUUUUUUUUCUCCAACUCAAAAAGCCUUUUCCUUUUUGUGUUAUUCCUACUAAAGUAAAAAUAUAGAGAAGCUAAUACCUAGUUAGUAGUAACUACUAACUAGUAACUAGUAAUGGUCUCUAACCAAGUAAAAGUCCAAGGCCCAAGGCCCCAGGCAAUAAAAAGUUAGGAAAAGAUUAGGAAGCAUGGGCGGGUCAAAUAGCGGAUCUCACUUGUACGCAGCCACAGUAUUAACUUUCCCUAUCCUCGCCGCUAGGUGAAGACACAGUUCUCCUAGCUGAACCACAACGCAGCAUCUUCCGGUGGCAGCCAACGGCGAGGAUAUACUUCUCUACCUCUUUAUCCAGUAACGUUACUUUAUUUUAUCUCUCUCUUCUCGCCUUUUAUUUAUUUAUUUACUUUUAAUCUCACAAAUUUCAAUCUCUUGUAUGCAUCUUUGCUUUUUUUUUUUUGCUAUAAUUCUUAGAAUUGAUUGUACACUUUUAUUUUUACGUUUGUACUCUUGUAUGCAUCUUUGUUUUUUUUUUUUUGCUAUAAUUCUUAGAAUUGAUUGUACACUUUUAUUUUUACGUUUGUCUACGAUUUUUUAAAUUUUUUUUCUAAGCAUUGUGCUGGAUUUACUGGUAUAUAGUUACUGCUAAUUAAUUUUUAGUAGUUUUCUUGCUGGACUUUGGGUUUAGGGUUUUACGUAAGGAGCAUAGCAGGAAAUAGCAAUAGCAAUGAGUCGUAGCUUAGGUAUAUCGGUGAAGCUUCUACACGAAGCCACAGGACACAUCGUGACCGUAGAGUUGAAGAACGGAGAGCUCUACAGAGGCAGCAUGGUUGAAUGCGAAGACAAUUGGAAUUGCCAGCUCAAGAACAUCACUUUCACGGCUAAGGUACUCUCGUUCCAAUGUUAUUCUGCCCUUCAUUAAGAAUUGUGAAAGUGCUUUUCUGUUUCCGGUGUCUUUAUGCUGCUUUUGAGCUUCGUAAUGCCUUUUUCUUUCACUUUGAUUCCAAUGCAUGAUGGGCGGAAGCCUACGAUGAUUUUCUGUGGCAGGAAAAUUGAAACUAUGGGAUGUUAGUAAAUUGGAACUGAAAUCUAUUCACUCUUUAAGGGGGUAACAUGGGUUGGGUGGUGAAUGCUAUUCAGAACACGGGGACAGUCAGUUGUAUUUGUGCUCAAAAAUGAUUUAUAUAGGUUUUCCUAGUAAGAAUUUCAUGUUUGUGGCAAAAGUAUUUUAAAACUAUUAUUGGCAAUAUGUUCUCAUAUAACAAAAUUCUAUCCAACUGAAUUCCAGGUCGUGUAUUUUCUUUUUUUAAAUUCUUUGAUCUUACAUGCAAAACCGUUCUUUAAUAUGUGUUUUUUUUGUUGUGGGUUAGGUCUUUAAUAUGUGUUUUUAUUGCAGAUUUAUGCAUCUUAUUUUAUGACGUGUCCUUUAGGUGUCAGAUGCACGUCUCAGAUUUUACAACAAAUUAAGUGUCUUCUGCACACAUGCUUUAGAGUUCACAGAGUGUCAGGACUACUUGGGGUUGAGGUUGUAAGGAACUUUUUGACCUGUGGAUGCUCAUUUAUCAUACUUAUUUUAACUGACAGCUGGUUUUAAGAGUAUUCCUCCCUUGAUAAUUUCAUUAAAAUUGGACCUGUCAUUUUUGACAUUCAUAAGCAAUUAUUUCCAGUGCCAUAUAAUUUCUUCUACAUCAAUGGCUACAAAAUGUAAGAUCUCUUUUUGAAUUGUUGAUAGCUUAUGAACAAUCUCUUAUCCUUUCAUGGAUCUUUGAAGCACUGAUAUAAUUUACAUCUUCAGCCGCCUCAAUCCUGAUAUCUUCUUUUUUGAACCUCUGAACUGAAGCAAAUUAGCUUCAAGACUUCAAUUGUUUUUGACUGCCUAUUCCAGAUAUGGAGUUGGGUAAAAUUUCAUGCGAUUCAGUAAACAGAAUAUAAAUUCCAUCGUUGCUAGAUCAUCUAUAUAAUUCGGCGAAGAAUGAACUAAUAGUGGGAUUUUUUGAUAAAAUGUUUUCUGAUUCUCUCAACUGCUUUCUGAGUUCUGAUUGCGGGUAAAACAAAUUUUUAUCAGGUUUAUGGUGAUUCCCGAUAUGCUUAAGAAUGCUUUAAUGUUCAAACGUUUAGAAGCUAGAAUCAAGGUGCUUUCCCAAUUUGCCUAUGUGUAUUAGAGUGUAUUUGUGACCAUCACAGCUCUGCUUACACUUUUUAUAUUAUCUUUUGAAGGACAAGGGUUCAGCACUUGGCGUUGGACGGGGACGUGCUGUUGCCAUGAGAGCCAGGGUAAGAUCUAUUUCGUGACUUUUGCAUCUUAUACUCCAAGAUCAUUUAUUUAAAUCCAAAAGUUAGGAAUGACACUCCAUAUCUUUAUUGUAAGUUCUGAAAUGCAUUAUGAUCUAUUGUCAAGAAAAGGCAAUGCUGGAUAGCCUCUCUAGAACUGGGAUUUAACAAAUACUGUAAAACAAAGAAAAUUUAGUUGUAUGGAGUAUGUAAAAUGAUUAGCUUGGAGAAAUAUAUGGGGUUACAAAUUAAGUUUUGUGGGGUGAAGUUUGCCUGACUGUGCCAUCCGUGUAUGCAGGCUCAGGCUGCUGGUCGUGGAGGUCCACCUGGCAGGGGCGUUGUGCCACCUGUAAGGAGGUGAUCAUUCCAUAAUAUGAUUGUAAUCUUAAGAGCAUCAAAGCUCGUAUAUUAUGCACGGGAGAUCAUCAAACCCAUGUUCCGCAGCCCAAUUUGGUAUAGGAUAAUAUUUGGCCUUUGAGACCUUAAGAAUUAUGUACGCUUUUGAACUUGGCUAGUGCUCAUUUAGAGACGUGAAUGGUUUUCCAAUUUACGCUUCUGUUUUAGCUGAUUCUAAAAUUUGAUGUAAACCAAAUCGAUUGGCUGUCUGUUAGUCAUGUAGCGAAAGAAGUCGAUGUGGGAAGUCGUAUUCCGCUGUAACGUGGAAAUAGCAAAUUGCCUCCAUCCGUAAUUACUUGUGCGGAUGCAAAUAGCGAGCAAUGCAAUAAGCUUUUUGAAAAGGAUGGAUCCAGAGUUUGAAUGAUUAUCAGGAUUGCAAAGGCUAUGGAGGAGAGGUUAGUUUUUGGUGGUGAAACGUAGUUGAUAAUCCAGAAAUGCGUGUACCCUUUCAUUAACCGCUGCCCGGGCUGCUACGGAAACACCUUUUACUGCCUACUGGUUGGAAGAUUCAAAACUUCGUGGUUAUAUUGAAUGAGCGGCCAUUAGGCAGAUUAUUUGUGCCUCUGACGAAUUGAACUACCUUUGAAGUAGAAAUUAAAUUAUGCGAAUUGGAACCCUAUCCAACUCAUGGCCCUUUAAAUGAAAUGGAGCAAUUCUAACUCAGAUGUUUUUUGGCCCAAUGUGCACCAAAACAGACAUCUUGCUUGAAAUUCUCCAUUUUGGAAAAUCUUUCCUCUUUCGUCUACUGAUUGAGGGCUAUGACGAGAUAUAGCCUGGAUUGUACAUUCCUACUCCGUCUAUUUAUGCUCACUCACUAUAUCUGUAUGCAGCAGGAUGAUUGAUUUUCCAAGUCCAUUUGCUGGAUCCAGUAGCCAAAAACAAUAUGUGACUGACUAUCUGGAACAGUUGCAGGCUACAUUUCGUUUCCGCCUUAAAAUACACUCCUUUUUAUGAGUGAUGGAGCAAAGGUGUUUACUUCUGCAUAUUCAAAAAGUUUUAACGCCUUCUUAAGUUGGUGGAUAAAGGUGUAAAUAUCUGAUGCGAACAAAAUUACGGUUUAAAAGAUUUUUUUUUUUUUUUGGGGUAAGGUAUUCCACCUAAGGUUAAGUGGGUUUUCACUUUCAGUGCUUCAAAAUUUUAGUGUCCUCAGAUUUGAGUGCUUCAAAAUUUCAGUGCUUCAAUUGCCACGUUAAGUGGUUUUGCUUUAAAAAAUAUUCAGUCGGGUGCACGGUGGUGGUUCAGUCCCUUUCGAAUUACCUUUGGACUUCUUUAGCUCCGCCCCUCCCCCUAAUGUAGGAUAGAAUAGAUUUAUCGUCUCCGUUAAAAAAAAAAAUUUUGGAGACAUAGAAAAUAGACCAGUGAAUAGUCAUCAACCGUCUCCCUCCUCCUGACUCACUGGCUCGCUUCUGCUCGAAUUUCUUUCGCUGAACUUUCAUCGAACUCAUCUUGACCUCUGAUGAUGGAAAUUUGAUUUCGCCGAAGAUGCGUUUUAAGAAAAGUUGUGUUAGCAAGAAGGGUACUUUUCUUAUCUCUUUUCUUCUUCGCUGAUGCAUUUGUUUUCGAAAGUAGACUUUUGUAAGGAUAUUAUUAGCAAAAAAUUCCUAAUUUUAUGUUUCACACCGGCCCCCUUCCUCUCGAUUCACUCGAGAUUCAGGUUUUGAAAUAACAGCAAGUUAUACAAUAAUACCUUCUUUUGUUAUACUACUAUAAUACCGUAGUACUCUUUCUUUCUCGUGUAACAAUGACCACAAAGCUAAUCGCCACAAACCAAUCUAAUGUUCCACCAACCAAUUCUAAAAUUGAAAUUCACACAUCUGUCAUUCCCAAAAAGGAAAGGACUUCUUUAUCGCAAAAGACGUUAGUUAACAGUACUAGUAUUGUUCUCCAGAUUGUGUGGUGUCGAUGAAAGCCCGAUGAUGAAGACAGAAUUGUGUAAUAAAACUCUUCCUAGCACAAGUAGUCACGCUAUGAAUUAGAUGCAACAGAACUUCCCUACAGCUUAAAUCAAAUCCUAUCCAUCCCAAGUGUUUGAUUCACAAUUCACAAACAAGAGUCUCUCUUGCCACAUUAUUUCUAUGCAUGAACAGGCAUAGAGACACUGUACAGGCCACAGAAAGGGACUGCCAAAAUUCAUCUGUAUCAAAGCCUGGCAGCUGAUCUGGGAAAUAUAAUAGUGCAACAACCAAACGUUUGGUAUAAUUUUUCUUUAGUCUUCAAGCACAACAAAAGUGUUCUCCGAAUUGAAGUUCUUGAGCGGUAGCGAUCAAUGGUUUUGGCUCUCCAAAGUGCGCCGAUGGUACGUACUUGACGUUGACUUGGGUAUGGAAGUCAGAAAAUUCGACGGUGAAGUUGCCAAAAGAUGUCAAUUUCAGAUAAAUGGUUGGACCACUAAUGGCGAUCGCAAUGACUUCGAAAGAUUGACUACUAUUACAAGGGGGGGUUUAAUUUAUGCAUUGAAUAGGCCUUCUUUCUACUGAAAAUGCUUGUUUGACCCGAUGGGAAGACUUUUCUGCUUUUGUGUGAACAGAAAUUUCAACUUUUUUGCUUUAGUUUGACUUUCCAAUAUAUAUAUAUAUAUAUUCAUGAAAUGUAUGACAUACUAGCUAGCUUAAGGUGAUUGAGACUCAAAAAACAUAUAUAAUAAGUAUGUAAAAAGCUCCGACGCAGUUGCUUAAGUCUAAUUAAUUGAGUUCCAUUUCGACUGAAUCUUAGGAUUUAACCACAAAGCUUUUCUAGAAAUCUCAAUAUCAUCCGCCAUUUUUCUUUUAAAAAUUUAAUGCCAAUUCGUAUUUUAGUUGUAAGAUACGAGCUAAGUGAAUUAGUGAAGGGUCAAGUAAAACCCAAAUUUCGCAUUUCUACUGUUAUUAAAAGUUAACUUGUUUUUCAGAAUUGUAUAUAUUUCUGGGUUGUGUGGAUAAAUAAAGCAAAGAAGAAAGGAUAACUGCCUUCACUAAUUAGUCAUUCAAAUAUGCUAAGCUAAAUUUUUUGGGGGGGGGGGGGGGUAGGGGUCACUUCUAAUGCACAGCUUUAACUGCCAAACAGAGUGAAGAAAACAACUGAUAAACCAUAUAUACAGUCCACACGUUAAAGCAACUAAUUAAGCAAGUGUUAAUUAAAGCUGAUAUUAAGCAAGUGUUUGGGACAUAUCAACACGUCCUACUUUUUGAAGAAUGAAUGGAGGAUGAUGUGAGGGUUUAACGCCUCUCUUAUCAAUCAGAGUUUUAUUAGCAUGUGCUCCGCGUCUCCUUAAUUUCAUCAAAAGGGAAAUUGUUUUUGAUCAGCUUCUAAUUGCUACUACGCAUAUGAGUAUGGAUUUUCUUUAUUCGGUUCCCUCAAUAAACCCUAAUAGUAUUAGGUCUUACGUCCAAUCCAAAUCCAGAGACCAAAAUCUUAAUCUUCAAUUGUGUGAACUUAAUCAAACCAUUGAAUUAGGGGACCAUUUGGAGGUCCCAACUGCAUGUGCAAGGCAGAAUAUGUUUCCAACAGGUCCUGGUCGAUUUAUGAAACCAUGCCCAAUCAAUAUUUGAUGAUUGAUGGAAUUGAUUAACCUAACUUCUGUUCUACAUAAUAAAGCUCACUAAUUGACUUCCCUGCUUAAUGAUGAUCUGCAAGACCAAAAGCCAUUGCUUAAAACUCAUGCAGGAGAAAGAAAAUGAAAAUGAACGAAAAUCAAACUUCAGUGCGAUAUUAACUAUCACCGUCAAUCAAUCAUAUUCUUCUUUUUUUCUUUCAAGGAUUGCUCAAACACUCGAUGAUACAAUGAAUUUACUACGUGAAGGCAUGCACGUAUUCAUAUUUAUUACAUCUAUGUAUUUAGACAUUUUCUCAAAGUAAUCUCACUUUUACAAUGAAUUAAGCAGUACUCAAGGCCUCUCUUAACGAUUGACCCUUAUUAAUUACAAAUGCCGUCGUUAUCACUAUUGCCAUUGGUUCGGGUAACCUGGGCAAUUAGCAUACAUAUGGGACCUUUUGAACGCCAAAUUAUCACUUAAAAUAGGGAAAAAUCAGUAGCAUCCUUAUAGAUUUAUUGUACCAUAAAGUUUUUAACGGACAAAAAGAAUUUCAAUGUCGGAUUAUUUGUUUUUCAAUUAUAAGAGAAUUGAUGAGUACGUCCCUACAUUCUUUCUUUCUUUUUUUUUUCUUUAACAGAAAACCUUAGUUUUCCAUAAUGGCGUUUUUAUUUUCUUUGAUAUUGGAAAUAUCAUAAUGGCGUUUUUUUAGAGUAUUAUCAUUUUUUUUAAAAGGAUAAGAAGCAAAGACUUUAUUGGUAAUUCAUUUUACACCAUGAUGAUGAUGAUGUGCAAGUCCAAGUUAUGUAACUUCAAGUAUUUCGCUUUCUUUUAUGAAAAGGAGAAUGGGACUUGAUCCACUCAAGUUGCAUGUAACGUGUGAUCAUAGACUACGAAAAAAUAUCGGUUUCCAGGUCCACGGAAUGAAAUUGUCAAAGUGACACUAAAAACUUUGCGGUGCAUCAAAAGGUUGGUGAGUUGCUUAAUAUAUUUGAAUGUGUAUAUCAUUCAUCUUAGUAUGUACUCACAUCUGUAAUGCGAGAGUGCAUGCAUAUUGUAAAAAACAAGUUUUUUUUUUUUUUUAAUGUUGAGGCCUUUGGCUAUAUUGAGCUAACUCUUAAUACUUGUGUAAAUAAUAGUAAGCCAUUAGUUAGAUGAUUAUGAAAUUGUAUAAAUAAAAAUAUAUCAUUAGUUAGUUGAUUGUAAGGUCAAUUUUUUUUCUCGUUAUUUACAAUCCUUUCCAAUUUACCAUCUCACUCAACUCUUCGUAGAUCGUAAGACCACUUACUCGACUUUCAAUUCUUCUAUUUUUUUUUUCCUUCUCCAAGGACUCAAAAUCUCCUUUGAACCAAACAAAAUAAAAAGAAUUGCUUUUUUUGAAAAACUUGGUAGGUGUAUUCAGUUUAUUGUAUCAGAGACUGUAAGCAUAAGGACGUUGCUUCCGUUUAAGAUGUGCACCAAUGACUUACAUGGUUUACAGGAUACUAGGAGAGGAACACCGCACUAUGUGCGGUGUGAAGUUACAAGUUUAACGUGCCCAGUAGGAAGUUAAGAGGUUAAUAUGACCAGAGCCCUCAUUGGCUUUAUUUUCCAACUAAAAAUUAUUUUUUUAUCAUUUCUGUAUGUGGUAGAUAAUGAAGCAUUUUGUCAACAUUUCAAUUAAGAAAAGAAAUAAUACUAAUAAAGUUGAAGAGCAUAAUCACACAUAAUUGAGAUAAGCUCUCCAACUGUAUGAUGCAUCUCAUUAGCUGUGAAAAGUAAAAUUUAAGAUAUAAGAUACAUUAAUCCAGAAAUAUUGACUGCUAUAUCUAAAAAAUGCCUCUCGUCUUUCCUUAUCUAGCGUCGCGUUCAAUCAGCCAAUUAUAGUGGAACUAUGCAUUAGUGGUCAAAAUUUAAAAAAAAAAAAAAUCAAGACACAGUUUGAUAUCUAUACUAUAGCAAGUGGCUGUUGAAGUAAAUAAUGACUUUUGGUAAAGAUAUUGGAAAGGAUAAAACAAAGUAUCAAGCAUUCAUGACAAAAUUCCAUGAGCUUCCAUUAGCUUCCAAGUUCCAGCUAUCUAAAUAUCAAUCAGAUCUGACAAGAAGGAAUCAUAUUAGAAUUUAAUAACAUUUUGUGUAAAUAGUAGAAUGACAAUCUUGUUAAAUCACAGGUAACGCAUCCGUAGUUUUUGCCACACUUCAUGGCAAAAUUGUAAGGAAAUACUAAAGCAUGAAAUAUAAAACAAAGUCGUCAAGAACACAUUCCCUACUCCUAAGUUUAAGCCACCAAUAUAUUUGAAUAAUACCUCUUGCCAUUCAACUUUUUCUCAAACAUUAAUGUUGGAUAUAUAUAUAAAGAAUAGAAAGCCAAUAAACAGCAGAUGCAUUUUGAGCCACCAUCUUAUUUGGAUAAAUACCUCCUGCCAGCCAAUUUUUUCUCAAACAUGAAUGCUAGGUAUAAAUAAAGAACAGAAAAUCAAAAACAACAUAUGCAUUUGAGCCUAUAAAUCAUGUAGUUAUAUUUCAUUCAUGCCACAUUUUCGCAAAGACAACAUGAAUGAACAUAGGACAUCAAUUUAAAUUGAAAGAAAAUUUUCUCUUCUUUCGUAAAAAGCUCAAUGACAAAACAAAAAGCUCCAAAAAAUCAAGCAAAAGCUACAGAGAAAUUUCAAUAUAUUAGUUUGGUAUUUGUUAGAGUUUAUUUUUUAAAUCCUAAAACGCAAUCUAUUCUCUAUGUAAUUCUUAGAUUUUAAUUUUCUUUUUUACAUAAAGGUAUUAGAAAAUUCUAGUUGCCUAAUUGAGAAAAGGUGGAGAAGCUAAGGAGUAAUCACCACCUAUUGAUCAUUCCCCACUAUACACAAUUUGGCUAGAAAUUUAGGGCGGCAAUAUUUAAACUUACAACUGGGAUGGAGCACAUGAACAUUUUUUUUCUACAUACAAAGAUCUUAUCUUAAGGUUCUUUUAGCCAUUUCAGUUACAUCAUUCUGACUACUCAAACAUGAAAUCAUUAGGAGGGACAGGACAGCGAGUAACAAAAGCUACAAUCAGUCUAUGUACAUCAUUUUCUUAGAAAUUACUACAUCUAAAGAGUUAUUCAAAAAUGACACCAUCAAAGUAGAGAAAAAAUUUAUAAUGAUUUCAUCAGUAAUCAUAACUUUAAAUGAAAUAGGGUGAAAACAAAUGCUAUUAAACCUGGACUAAAGAUCUUAAAGGAAUGGAGCAGCCAAAGAAGACUUGCAACCUCUUAGUGAUGAAUUUACUAAAAUAGGUAAAAUACUAAAGAAACAGACUCUAAAUCAAAAGGAAAUGCAGUAUCUUCACAAAAUUUCAUACUCCACUUUUUCCAAGAAUAGUAAAUAGGGUAAAGUGACCAGAAAAUUAUAGUAAAAUGCUAAGAAAAAAAUGAAGAGAACACUAAAACAUCAAAAACAUACCAUUAAGGCUAAAUGGAAAAAUUAGCCUCCUUUUUGCUUUGUUCCUUCAUCUAACAAAAAUUUAGUAUAAAUAAAUAUCAGAAAAAUAAAAUUUAUUAGGAAAAAUAAAAGGAAAAAUGAAAUCAUAUUAACUUUUCUCUAUGGGAAAAAGACAGAGAGUCAAUACAAUGCUCACCUUGAGAAAAGAAUUCGCAAAUCUUAACAUCUCAAGCUACAACAAACAUUUGAAACUUAUGAGAGAGCAUAAAUAAUUAAUAUGUUAGACCAUCAAAUCUAUCAUAGGAUAUGUGAGACCACAGUAAGGAACAAGAAAAUAACAAUAAAGCAUAAGGAUUAGCAUGAAGUGAAGAAAUUGUGUUUCCCAAUUAAUAAUCAAACAUUAAGCACUAAACAUCUAAAAUGCAUUUCCAAAAUUUCACAUCCAGUUCAUACCGAUGCAAUACUUUUUCAAGUUGAAUAUAUUCCUUUUGUAAUAAAAUCCAAAAGCAUAACAUGCAAAGGACACAAAGGAAGGGAGAAAGGUGAUUUGUUGCUUUUAGCCAAGGAAAGAUCAGCAAAAAAAUGCCAGAAAAAAAAAACCAAAGGCAAACCUGAAGUGAACAUUUUGCCAAAAACUGAACUAUUCUUUCCUUCUUCAAGAUAUGCAUUAGUCUUCAAGAUAUGCAUUAGUCUUCAAGAUAUGCAAAUCAUGUCGAUCUAGGUAACAAGAAAACAAAACAAAAUAUUAACAGAUCAUGAUAUGUUUAGCGAGUUAUGGAGACUUGCCUGUUUUUUUUGAAACACCCUUUUAUUUCCUCUUCUUAGAGGCCGAGGGAGAUUUUUUGUGGUUCCCAAAAGAAAAAAAAAGAAUUAUACAGAAAAGUUAUGGCAAGCAAAAAAGGAAGAAAUUAUACAUAAAAAAGGGAAAACAAAGGUGAGAAGAUAAAACCUGUGAGUAGUCAGAUGAAAAAAUAGUGAGCGAUCUACAAGAUCACACAAAAAAUUGUGGUCCAAAAAAAAGUAACAAUUGAUGGUCAAGGAUGCAAGUAAUAAUGCAUCAGAAAAUGCAUGUCAAGGAUGUACAAAUUAAAGGAUAGAAUAUAGAGAAAAGAAUAAAAGAAAAGCAAAAUUAGAAUAACUAACCAGUGUGUAUGAAGAAGUCCAACACCGCACAACUGAAUAAUAGUAGAAGCUAUCAAAGAAACCACAAUCAUGUAAAAGAUAAUAAGAAAGGUGACAAAAAAACAAGAGAGUAAAAAGAGAAGCUGAUUCGGUGACAAUAAUUUUGAAGGGACAGAAAAAAAUUAAAAUGGUCGAACAGUGCUUGAGAAAAACAAAGAAGCAAGCAAGAAAUAAGAAACAAAGCAGUUUGACAGCAAUUCCGAAAUAUUUGAAGAAUUAGAGAAAAACAAAGGAAAGCGAAGCGUAAAACCAACAUGCUCACCAGGAAGCAGCAACGGCAACACCAGCACAAACUAAAACCAAACCAAUAAAUUGGGAAAAAGGAAGGUUCAAAAUAGCUAAAGAAAAAUGAAGAACAAUACUUAUGAGGUAGGUCUUUCUGUCUAGCAAAGAAACAAGAGCAAUAGAAUAGGGAAAAGAAAGCAGUAGAUGCACCGUUACCACUGAUCAUGAUGAUGAUCAGUAGAAAAUCUGGUGUGGAAAGCCAGAGAAACUGCAUAACCAUUGUGCAAAUGCAAAACACAAAACAAUGUCAAUCAACGGGAGCAAAAGAGCUAAUAGUUGACAACGGGGAAAAGUUAUUUUUUUGCAGAUUUACAGACAUAACCCAAGCAAAGGACAAAAAGACUACAAGAGCUUUUGAGUGGAAGCGUAAAUGCAGUCAGAAGGGAUGGGUAAUAUAGUGAACAGCUCAGGUACAAUCAACCAUCAACAAAAAGAGGCUGAUGACAAGAAGUGUGUAGCGGCGGAUGAAGAAAUCGAGAAAGUAUGCAUCAAAACCAAACAAACAAAAUACCAGCUACAAACAAAUGGUCCAUAAUUAAUUGCAAAGAAUUGGUAAUUAAGCAUGUUAAUUUAGAAAAGUAGUUAAUUACGAAUCAAUUAAUUAAGACCACCAAAAGCAAAGAAGAAAAGACUAAUGAGAAGCGUUUUCUGAAGCUGGAGCAAGGUAGACAUAUUAAUUAAAUAACAAUUAAUUGCAACAAAUUGGUAAUUAAUUGCGAUUUGUUAGGCAACAAAAAAGUAACGUUAUUAAUGAAUUAAUUAACAAUUAAUUGUUAAAAAAGGAAACCAAAUGUGAUUUGAUUGGCAUGCAAAAAAAAGAGGCUAAAUUUUGGCUAAUAACUACACAGAAUUGGUAAUUAAAAGCGAUUUGUUGGGUAAAAAAAAUAUUAAUAAUUAUAAAAACAGGUAAGUAAAUGUGAUUUAUCAAGCAAUAAAACUGUGAAAGUAUAACUUAAUUUCGGUGAAAUUAAUUGCAAAAAAAUUGAAUUAAACCUGAUUUGUUGGCCAACCCAAAGUAAAAGAGGACAUUUUUUAAUAAAUUUAAAAAAAAAAGGUAAUUAAACGUGAUUUUUUGGACAAGCACACAAAAGCUCAUUUUUUGUUAAUAAUUGCAAGAAAGUGAUUAAUUAAACGUGAUUUGUUGGGUAAAAAACGACACUAUUAAUUAGUUAUUAACAAUUAACUGUAAAAAAUUGGUAAGUAAAUGCGAUUUAUUGGGUUAAAAAAAUGGAGCCAAAAUAAUAAAUAAAUAAAUAAAUAAAUAAUAACAAUUAAUAGCGGGGAAUCAAUAACAAGCUGCCAUUUUGAGGUCCAAUAACUUGUUAUUGAGCUGCCAUUUUUUUCCAAUAACAAAGCACUUCCAAUCCAAUAAAAAAAAAAAAAGAAAAGGAAAAAAACCAAUGGCACGUGGAGCCAGAAUUUAGCGGCAGACUUCCAAGCCAGACGUCCAAGCAAAACAAAGAAAAGAAACAAUCGGCUGGACAACCAAUUCACGCGAGCGAAUUCACACGAAGCGACGAUCACCAAUCGGCCAAUGGAAGCCUGCCAUGUCAGCAAUCAGAACCCAAUUGAAAACCUCCCCAUUCCCGCAUAGACUAGAUAUGUUAAUUAUGUCUAUGUAAGUAGAUAUCUUUGAGCCCUACAAUCUUCAUAGGAAUAUUAUUGGCUUACCUUGUAUAUUAUUCUUAGUGCCCGUGCGAUUCUUCAAAUUGAUAUAUAACCACCAAAAUCGAAUGCAGCCCAACAUUUAUUUCAGAACACGUUUCAAUCUUCAACUUUUUGGACAAAAUGAUCGAACCAGAAAGAGAAACAAGUUUCGACAACUAUGUCAUGAUACAGUAUGCUUUCAUUUCAUGCAUGUCUUGGUUAGUUCCUUGAUUGCAGAUUAAUGCAGACGAUUGAUCAAGUACGUACUUUAACUGAAGCAAGUGUCUAUCAUGUUACUGCUAACGACCGCGGUAGAACUUCAUAACCUCAGACCAAGAACGAAUUUUAGAUUGAAUCAUAAGCCUUGAAAGAAUUCACCAGAGAAAUAAUGCAAAUGGUCAAGUUUUGGCGCAACUUCAUGGUUCGUAUUCAUAUGAAAAAGGGAAAAAAAAACGGAAAUCUGUAAAUCUCCGCUCUGCUGUAUCUUAGACUGUAACAAACAAGAGAAAUUUCCAAUUUCCAAAUUCGUGUAUAUAUAUAUCUCCACUAAUGAAAAAAAAACCAGACAAUUAGUUUCCACGUGGUCAGAUGAAGAAUAUCCCAUGCAUUAAACUACUUAGUUUAAAUUAAACUACUUAGUUUAAGUAACCGGUGGUGCCCAUCAUCCAUGUUAUAGUAGACCUUAAUCCACCUCUACAAAUGACAAGAAACUCCAUCGUGCUUCAUUAGCUCCCUUAAUUAUCUGAUCAUGGAAAAUAGAGAGCAAAAAACUUCUUCAUCGCAAGGAAUGGUGAGGCCCAUCUCAUGGUUGAAGCCAAACUCUUCUUCAGCUCGUUGUAACAAGCUCUGGAAUUCCGGGUGUUCCAGCCAAGAAAUGGGGAUGAUGUAUCUGGUCCUAUUUUGGCCAACAUAUACUGCAAAAUGGCCUUUUGGGACAUCAUGUGGAAGGCUAUUGUCGUGAUGAUCAUGACCCGUAUUCUUCCUUCCAAAACUUGAACACUUUUUGAGGAUUUGUUUGAGGGCCGCCGUUUGGGUAGCGGCAUGUUUUGUUCCUUUCUUAAGAGCCAUGUUUAUGGACUUUAGAGGAAAAAGGCUCAGCUAGGCAAAGAAGAGAUAGAAAUUGUAUGUAUUAAGAGGAAAAAGUGCUAAAGAGAAUGAAGGAUUGGAAGGAGGUGGGGAUGAAUUGAGGAGAAUGUGGAGUAGUAGUAGUAUUUAUGGGAAAAAAGAAGAAGACGGAGAGAUUAUCUGCGAAACAAAGACGUGGAGUGUGGGGGCAACAAACUAACAGGGCUUAGAUGUUCUUAUUUGAGAAGUCUUGUUCAAGGCCAUGCAAACUCAUUCCCCAUUUGGCCUUUUCCCGUUUUCUUGUUACCCCUCCCGUAGACAAAUAGGACCACUAUACUCUAUACUCUAUACCAUAAACUCCAAUCUCCGUUCAUCAUAUGUGUGUAUUUGUGUUUUGGACAGUGUGAUUGUGCAUGAAAUCCCCAUUUUAUUAAUGACUGAUCUAGAGAAUUAGGAUAUGGUACAGUCAGAUUGUUCCAUAUAUGAUAAGAUAAAAAAUUCAUAUCUUUCUAACUAUAUCCUAAGUGUCUUUUCAUUUCUUAUUAUUGUGGGUGAGAAUCAUUCUUGGGUAAUAAUUUGGAGGUUCAAUGGGUUAUGGAUUCCACACCUUUUCAAACUUGAGAAAAAUCGUCUAGAUUUUGGGACCUAUGGAAUACAAGGCUUCCCUCAACAAUUGGAUUCGAUCACCUCUUAAAAGUUCUAAGGUAAUGGAAACCAAUCUUCAAUACCUAAACGGCGUUGAGUAAACUAUGAAAGAUUAAAACAGCAAAAGAUAAAAGAAGAAUAAAAAAUAAAAUUUGAUUUGUGUUAUAAAUUUUUUUUCUCAUCAUACCAGUUUAAACAAUCAAAGCACUUUGUAGAUUGAAAAAUUCGAAAAAAUAUGCCCUAAAUGAGAUAUAUCCUUUGCAAUUAUAUAAAUUUUCAUAUUAAAAAGUGAAUUUGCCAAAAAUUUUGUUCCUCAAUAUAGGAAGUAUGUCUACAAAAUUUUGAAAAACACAAAAAAUAAAGCAUAAAAUUCUAAAUUUUUUUUAAAAAAAUGUAGUAACGCAUAGGAGUGUCCUAUUGAAAAGAUCAAUCUCACGGAGCUCAUAUAUGCAUCAAAAUUAUCACCCUUUUUUAUCUCGUUUAAUCUCCAAUCGCAUACCAUGUCAUACCCUAUCGCUGUUGCCAAUGCUCCAAUUAUGAUAAUUUUCAGUAAAAUGACAAUAACACUAGAUUCAAGAAAUUUUAGGCUAGCAAAUUCUAGAGAACACGGAAGAGAAUAUUGUAGAAAGUGAAAAUAAGCAGAGACUAUAUGGACGGUGGUGGUCGUCAUGGUAUUGGGGGUGCGAUGAAGGGCGAUGAGAUGAUGGUUAGAACGAUGGCGGGUGGGAGAAGGUAAGAGGGUGGCCGGCAUUGUACGAGUAAAAACUAUAUAGAUGGUGGUGGUCGUCGUGACAUUGGGUGCGCAAGAAAAAGUGAUAGGAUGAUGGUUGAAACGAUGCCGGCAUUCUAUUUUACUUUUUUAGAAGUAAUUUAAACCAUAUGGGAAAUAGGAGUAUUUAAUUCUUAUAAUUUUUUAUUUUAUUUUAUUUUAUUUUUCAUUACUUUUUUUAUUUUGAAAUGAUCGAAUGGGUCGGGAGAGCGUUAUCCCAUGAUUUUACCAAGGGAAUUAAUGAAAUUAGUUAGCGAUGGUAAUCUCUAACACGACAUGAUAAUACUAUUCGAACAUAAUUCGAAAUUAAUAGAUUUUAACAUGGUCUAGAUUUUAGUGGGUUAUUAUUGGGUAAUCCUAUUAGUGACACGAAUGUAAGCGAGUUGGAUUGGAUCAACUCAGGUUGACAUGCUAAUCGACAAAAUGCUUACUUUCACAUAAAAAUUAAACAUUACCAAGGCCAAUUUCAGUAUUUAGUAAAAAUCAGAAACAAUUAAAUUUGGCUCGAAGAUUGUAACUAUAAUUUUCUCCAUUUCCUAUGAAUAUACCUUCUACACAUUUUUCAAUAAUCUUUUAUUUCAUAUAUAUCACAUACUAAAAAGUGUUAAUGUAAUUAGUUCCGUAUAUAAUAAGAUAUAAAAAUUCACAUCUUUCUAACUAUAUCCUAAGUGUCUUUUCAUUCUUUAUUGUGGGUGAAAAUCAUUCUUGGGUAACAAUUUGGAGGUUCAAUGGGUUAUGGAUUCUACACCUUUUCAAACUUGCGGAGAAUCGUCUAGAUUUUGGGACUUAUGGAGUACAAGACUUCCUUCAACAAUUGGAUUCGUUCACCUCGUUAAAAGUUCUAAGGUAAAGGAACCAAUCUUCAAUGCCUAAACAGCGUUGAGCAAACUAUGAAAGAUUAAAACAACAAAGGAUAAAAGAAGAAUAAAAAAUAAAAUUUGAUAUGUGUUAUAAAUUUUUUUUCUCAUCAUACCAGUUUAAACAACCAAAGCACCCUGUAGAUUGAAAAAUUCGGAGGAAUAUGCCCAAAAUGAGAUAUAUCCUUUGCAAUUAUAAAAAUUUUCAUAUUAAAAAGUGACUUUACCAAAGAUUUUGUUAUUCGGUAUAAGAAGUAUGUCAGCAAAAUUUCAAAAAUACAAAAAUAAAGCAUAAAAACCUAAAUUUUUUUUAAAAAAAUAUAGUAACACAUGGGAGUGUCCUAUUGAAAAGAUCAAUCUCACGAAGCUCAUAUAUGCAUCAAAAUUAUCACCCUUUUUUAUCUCGUUUUAUCUCGAGUCGCAUACCAUGCCAUACCCUAUCGCUAUUGCCAAUGCUCCAAUUAUGAUAAUUUUCAGUGGAAUGACAAUAACACUAGAUUCAAGAAAUUUUAGACUAGCAAAUUCUAGAGAACAUGGAAGAAAAUAUUGUAGAAAGUGAAAAUAAGCAGAGACUAUAUGCACUGUGAUGGUCGUCGUGGUAUUGGGGGUGCGACGAAGGGCCUCCAUGAGUUGUUUAGUGCCUCAUCCAUGCAACAAGUUGCUUCCAUUUUAUCCAUACAAGAUGAUCCAAAUCAAUGUUAACUAGGACUGGAUUUUACACCUUUGCACAAUUAAGGUCCCAAUGUGAAAUUCCAUGACCAAAGGCUAAUUAGAGAGUUUUGGAUUGCAACCUGGAAUUCUCACAAGCUCUUUCCUACCUUGGCGCAUGUCCUUGUUUGAGAGUCUCAUGAAGUUGACCAAAUGACAUGCGACAUGACUUGUAGUCAUUUAUCUAUUUCCAACAUUGCUGUCCUUUAAAUGCACCGUCGAUUUGUGGACAAAUUGCUUUCAAGAAGAGAGGAAUGAUAUGAUUCGGAGCCCCCCCAACUCUAGUCCACAAAGAUCUCACAUACGAAAGAUAUUCAAAGUUUCAAGUUGUUCAUUUGGUCUUGUUGAGUAAGGACUUAUUUGUCAUUUUAGUUGCUGUUUAUUUAUUUAUUUCUUUUUAAACAAAUUCGGCCAAAAUAGCCUUCUAGUUGGCCGAACAAUAGCCCAAACAAAUCCUAGUCUAGCCGAGUUUUUACUUAGGUAUUUUUAGUUCAAGUGAAUCCAAUUCACUUUAGAUCUAGUUUAAGUGAAUCCAAUUCACUUUAGAUUGUCAAGUGUAUGGCUAUAUAUAGCCAAGGCAAGAGACCUUCCAAAUCAGUUUUUCAAUCAAUAAAAUUGUGAGAUUUCACUUUUCUCUUUCCAAAAGAGAUUCUUUGAAUAUUUGAGAAUCUUUCUCAAGUUAUUCAAGUGAACUUAUCAAUCAAGUAACUCCUUGAUUGUGACGUUCCUCUAACUAUAGUUUGGUUCGCUAAUUCGUUAAAUAGUGGGUUGAGAUAGUAUCAAUAGUGUUCGCUACUUCGGGGAUUAGAUUGGGUCAAAUUUCCACUGCCAAAUUGUUGGUGAUUCGUUGUCUAGAUCGUGUCAAGUGAGGUAUCACAUCACAACCUUAUACAAAUACAUAUGAAAUUUACUAAUACACAAGAGCUUAAACAAAAACAAAACUAAAACUACCUCAACUCUUUCUCCAAAAUCACGCUCCCAAACUUUGUCCCCUGUAAGGAAACAAAGGAGAAUAGGGUGAGCUUUCGCCCAAUGAGGUGCCAAAAGGUCACGCAGUCACAAAUCACAUAACUAACUUUUAGUCACUCAAAUAUAAGCAUCAAAUAAUGAAAUAAGUAAACACCACAAUUCAUACAGAGCGUUCAAGUAAAGGAUAUAGAUGACUCUCAAGAGCUAAUUUCACCGUUGCAUUAACUUGUUCCAAACCGGUUGACACUCCGUCAAUGUUUAUAGAGACGAAACAAUGACCGUAAAUCUCCACUUUACACCAGUUUUUUGUCCACCCAACAUACCUCUUACCGGUCCCAAACACCAAACAGAAAUAGUGGUGGUAAUACUCGAAUAUACCCAAUCAAGAACAAGUAUGGUUGAUGAGAUAACUUUCCAAUUGACUUAAUCAAGAUAGAGGUAUUGAGACGGGAAUGAGAGGCACCCCCCACUCGAAUUGAGUGUGGUACAUACUGCCGUUCAGCACUAGGGUCGAUGAGCCAACCCUCCAAUCGAUUUAAUCAAAAUAAAAAGUAUUGAGAUGGGAAUGAGAGGCACCUCCCACUCGAAAUAAGUGUGAUACAUACUGCAACUCAACACUUACAAGUCAAGCACAAACACAAAUACAAAUACAGGUCAAUCAAGUUCAAACAAGUAUAAGAUCAUUCAAGAAGGGGAGGACGAUUGUGAUAAAGUACACCCUCGCCUCAUCAAGUUCAAUAUUCAACACAAUACGUGGUAUCAUUCAAAUCAAGAUAUUAAGAAACAUGCACUUGACACUCACCAGUUUAAGCAAAAUAACAUCAAAAGUUCGCCCCCGGGUUAUGCUCUUGAUCACCAACAAAUCCUAAGAACAACCAAGAUAAAGUAUUAUGGUUCAACCAUUCAAAACUUAGGUGAACCAAAAAAAAUCCAAAUAACUACUAGUGCAAAGGUGUAAAUAUGGUUUUGGAGUGAAAAGAGAACAUUUGGACCCAAAGGACAUGAGUAACCAAGGAGUUCCUCAUUCCAAUUCAUGGCUAGAAUUUCUAGCAACAAAUAGCUAAAAAGAUAAUCAACCUCGAGCUUAAAAGCGAAACAAAUGCAACUAGAAAGAAUGCUAGAAAAAACUAUCACUUUUCCUCUUAUUUUACACAUGAUUUUGUCAAAAUUUCAGCUUAUACACUACCAUCAAAGUGCACUCAAGAACUCACAUGUAACCUAAGUCCAAACCAACCCAAAAUCACCCCUCUAACAUCACUUAUUUUACAAGAAAGAAGGUAAAUAAAAUUUCAACAGCACUUCCCCUAUUUUCUUCACUUUUCCAUCCAAACUCAACACUUAUUUUUAUCUCAAUCUAACCUCAAUCACAACCACAAGUUAUAGGCUAUAAAAUACCCUUGUUUAAGGCCAAAAAACCACCCAAAAAUAGCCAAUUUCAAACUCAAGAAUCAACUAUAACAAAGCUGAAAUUUAUAACCCUAGGCUGAAAUUUUCAACUACAAGCUGAAAUUUUCCAUAAGCAAGCCAUAAUAACUUAUAAAAGCUAGAAAAUUCACAUGACAAAUCUACUAAAUCAUGGCCAAGCUCAAAGCAUCAUUAUAAAGCUAAAAUUUCACCAUCAAAAUUGAAAUUUUUGAAUCACCACCCAAACCAUGAAAUUUCUCAUGAAAACUACCAAAAUCAAUCCCUAAAUCCACUCUUAUGUAAGUAUUAAAAGAAAUGAGAGUUUCUUGAUAUAGUUACCUUAAUACCCUAAGAAGAAAUGGAAACCAAAUGCUUCUUUCUUUCAAAUCAAUCCACCAAAGCCCUUAAUCCUCCUUAGAUGUCACCUUUUAUGGAGUAGUUUGCAAAAUCAAUGGUUAAAACUCAAGAUUCAAACAAGAUUAGAAGGUGAAAAAUGAAGUUUUUCUCCCCUUUUUUUCCCUCAAAGUUUCGACCAAGAGAGGUAGAAAGAUGAUAGCAUUUUUGUCAAUUUUUUUUAAUUAAAGGUUAAGAAAGGUUGUAGUCAAAGUCAAAGCUCCAUAAAUUUUGUGACAAAUGGCAUUCCAAGGUUAAUCAUCAUCUUAUUGUCUCCCAAAUGCUAAAAUACCUAGCCAAUCUCUAAUUAUCCCCUAACACCUUAUAAAAUAAUAUCUCUUUGUAUGAAACUCCUCUUGGUUUUCAAAAAAAUUUAUCGCACAUACCGCAUUAGUGGGUGUUACUUCCAUAAUUCACUUCGAAUUUAACAUGAACUAACUUAUAAAAAAAUGCUUUAAAAACUUGACUUACUUAUAAAAAUAUCUAGAAAAUUAGGGCAAUAAAAUAAAGUAAAGAAAAUGUAUUUGAAGAAAUAAAAUAAAAUAAAAUAAAGAAAUUUUUCGAGUUCUCAAAUCUUUCCUAUCUAAUAUCUCUCUCAAUUUUCUCUCUGAACUUUCCCGUGAUUUUUUCUUUACGUUAUCUUUCUUUUGUCAAAUGUAAUUCUGAGAAUCCAAUAUUUAUAUUAACAGCAUCUAAAACUUCAGUAUCAUCCUUGAUAUUGUUUCAGUGGAUGAAAAAUAUUCUUCUUGAAUUGAUAAUCUCAAGGUGAACGAAAACUAUUCUCUUAUCUUUCUAUUGUGUAUUUUUUGCUACAUUCCUAUGCCUUCAAAAAAUUUUGAAUACUAAUUGUUUAACAAAUGAUUUCUCACACCAUGUGUUUGAUAAAAUGUCUAGGAGGAACCACUAUAUAACAACAUAGAUUCGUGCCUAGGAUGCCAUUUGCCUUUUAUGCUUGUUGAUUACAUAUAUACUAAUCUAGUAGUUUUUAGUUUGCAAUUGAAAAUUUGAAAUUUUCAACUUGAUUACUUUUUGUAAAAGUUCUUUUCAAGGAGUAGGAAGGAUAACAUAAACAAAUAUGAUAUCCUUGAAAUUUUUGUAAUUUUUCUUGUUAUUGCUUACAAUUUUCAUUGCAAUUUUUGUUGCAAUUUUUAUGUAUUUUUAAAUUUAUUUUUUGAAAAUAUAUGCAAUAGGUUUGAUACAUUUAAAAAAAAUGCAAGGACCAAUAAUAGUAAGGUUAAUAAUGGUAGAAUUUAUUUUUAAUAAUUAUAAGGACUAUCAAAUUACGCAAUCUUCUUGUGCCUCUACAAUAAAAUUUUUUAAAAAUUUUUAGUUCAUGUUGGAAACUAUAGCCUACAUUAAAACUUUUCUUUCUUGUUAUCCUACAUGACAAUUAGGAUAAUUAGAUGGCAACAAUAAUAUCAUUAUGGGAAUAAAAUUUGAAAGUGAAUCACAUUGGGAAUAUUUUUUUAGAAAGAGUGUUAUUUUGGCAAAAAAACUCCUACGUCUUUUAUCAUCUUUAGAGUCUCAUUUAAUAUCUACUUGAUCAACAUCAAAACCUACAACUAGUUGUGUCUCAAAUCACCCCCUCUUAUUAUAUUUACAUGUACUAUAUUUUGACUAAUUUCAAUUGACUCUAUUGCUAAAGCCAAUAGCAUUCCAAUUCCAUCAUGAAUGACAAUCUAAUUGUGCACAAAAAUAGGUAAAUAGUUAUAGUUUAAGUCAUAGUCAUCCAAAACUUCAUGCAUAAGAAUGUGUAAUAUAUUCAAUGUUUUAAACUAAAAUUGAAAUACGAAACUACCAUUGAACUAAAGCAUCACUUUAUGAACUUGAUUUUGCCAAAAAUCGAAGUAAAAUCAAAUUAGUCAAUUCCUGUUUCCAAAUAGAAUUCAUUUUGAUUUAGGAAUUCUAUUAUUCAAAUUGUUGCUUAUUCUUUCAGGACAUAGCAUAGCCAUGCAGUAAAAAGCAAUAAAUCAAUAUUAGCUUAUACAAAAGCAAUUAGCAGGAGUUGUUUGUCCAGGGUGGUUCUGUUUCUAAGUGAAGUUAAAUUUCAUUCAGAGAUUCCAUUAUUUAAGUCAUUGCUUGCCUCUUAAGGACAUAGGAUGGCCGUGGAUUUAAAAAUCAACAAAUCAAUAUUAUCCUUGUUUGACAACUAUUAGCAUGAGAUGUUUGUGUAGGGUGGUGUUUUUUACAUUUAAUCAUUUUAAACCUUAUAAGAGGAAAGAGGAUGAUGAAAAGUCAAAUUAAGAUUUCACAGUUAAAUAAUUAAUUCUGAGCUUAACUGAAUGUUAACAAGCAUAGCAUAUUUUCCACUUACUAAAACAUUUGACUAGAUGUUGUCAAAGUCCUAACUGAUAAAUAAUAAAAUUUUGGACUAUAUAUUACAAAGGUUUUUGUACUUAUUUUCUUUAAAAAAAUAUAUAACUAGAUCACAAAAAUUAUACCUAUCUAGUACUAAACCAUUUUUAUGGCAACCAAUUCAUUACUAAUUUUAUUUCCAUUAUUGAAUUUAUUUAUUGUUUACCAAAAGUGUUCUCAUACCAAAGGUCUAUUAACUUCUAAUAUUCUCCAUAAUUUCUUCCGCUUUUGGUUUUCUGUAGCUAUAUUUUUCCCAAUUGGAAGAAAAGUGUGUAGUAUAUAUAUAUAUAUGCAAUAACAUUUGACAUAACAAUAGUUGCCUCUAUUCUAGACAUUUUUUUCAACAAAAUUGCAACUUAUCAGCCUUUUCCAUUUUCACUUGCAGCCUUAAUAUUUUCAAUAGGAUCUUUUUUCACUAUAAUCAAAAUUUUUUUUAAAAGAUUGAAAUCUUCUUGUAAGGUCUAAAAAGGAGGGUGAAUUAUGUAGUUCACAAAUUUUCAAAUUCAAAACUAACUUUAUCCAAGUAAAAAAAUUUUCCAUUCAAGUAUUGAGAAAAUAAUAGUAUAAGAAUAUGACAAUCAAACUCAAUCAACAAACUGUACGGAAGCAAUUAAAAAAAUAAAAGGUAAAGGAAUAAGAUAUUCAAACCGAUUUUAAAGUAGUUCGGCCAUCCUCGGUGCCUAUGUACACUCCAAGUUUCUUUAAGUUUUAGUAUUUCUCCACUAAGUGUCUCUUCAAAUGUAAGUGAGACAAUAACCUUAAUGCAUAGAAAUGAGGCUCAUUCUUACUCACAUUAAGUAUCUCUACUCUAAUUGAGUCAAGAGUUUUACACUCACAACCUCUUUUUAUCACAAAAGUUAUCUCUCCACUCUUACACUUGAAGAACACUCAUUUUAAUUUUACAAAUACAAGAGUUUUUACCAAAAUAGUUUCUCUAGGUAUACCACAAUCUAAGGCCAAGAACUUUUUCAUUUGGGAAAGUUUGGGUCUUUUAUAGGUGCAGGAAAAAAAAGGAGAAAUAAAGCUCCAAAAAUCAAAAACAGAGUUGCUGAAAAUUAGCCGUUAGACACUAUGACUGGUAGUUCAGUCAGCCUAAAGGAGUUCAGGUGGUCUAAUGGAGUUCAACAAGUAGUUCGGCAGGCCUAAUUUCUCCUAAAAGCAUUUUCCAUUUUUUGCUUCAAUACUACUACAGUAACUUCGGUCAUAUCCUACAGUAACUUCGCAUGGCUGAAUACUAUAGUGCCACUGUUCAUUACUAUAGUACGACUAUUCAUUACUACAGUACCACUAUUCACUGUUAUAGUACUUUUUUCCAAUUAUUCUGAUUUUUCUUCUUUUCUUCAAUUGUUCUCAACUCCUUUUUCUCAACAGCUUUUCUUGAUAUAAUUGAGAUUUAGAUCAAAAUUUAAAUCUCUAAUUUCUAUACUCUACCUCAUUGAUACUUUGGAGCUUUCUUCAUCUCUUUUUAUCUUCAUUCUUUGGUGGAAUACUAGAAUAAAGACUUUCUUGAUCUUGUUUGAUACAAACAUAAUUUCUUAUUCAUUUGCCACCUUUCUGUGUAUUGUUUCACUAUGAUUUUUGGGAUGGCCAAACAUGCAUCCACAGUUUCAUUUCAAUUUCAUUACAUGCUCACUUCUUCUCCAAUCAUAUUUAUACUUUGACAUUCUCUUCUUUGAUCCAUUUAGAGCAUCCUACUUGAUGAGUUCUAAAUUUGAGUUCACUUCAUCUAACAAAUCACUUAAUUGAACUAUUAGUAUUUCACAUCAUUAUUUAUUAUUCAUCAAAACAAGAGCUCAUCUAGACCAUGUGGUCUUCACUUUUUUACUUACAUUUUUUUGAAAAUGUUGUCUCUUAUCACUCAAAAACUCACAUUUUGGUGAUCUAUUCCUUUUUUGGCUCUCUCAAUUGACAAAAAUUCAAGUAUUUUAGUUGCUCUAAUUGGAAAACCAAAAAUAACUCAUAUAUUAAUUCUUAUGAUGUUGUUUGAUAAUUAGGUUUCAACCUCAAAAAUGGGUUUCAUGCUUAAUCACACCUGUGUAUAUAUUCUUUGUUUAAGUCCAAUUGGAAUUAAUCGAUGGGUAUGACAGUUUCAUUCUAUGAGUUUUAUGCUUGACUAAUUUCUAAAAGUUUAUUAUCUUGAUUGUCCAUCAUUUUCAUUUUAGCAUAAAAGAAAAUUGGGAACGUUUGUUGAAAAAAAAUAAAAGAAAAUUGGGAAAGAGGAAAUUUACAAAAAUCUUCUCUUCUUCCUUUUGCCUUCAUUCUCAUCCAGUCACCUUUUAAACUCUCCUCCUCUCUCUCCUCACCUUUUACUCUACGCUUCUUCUCUCUUUUCAACCCUCCCUUCCAUCUCUCACCUAUCUUCUCAAUCAAUCUAUAUAUGAUCUCUUUCCAUAUAAAUUCCUCCUAUGAACCACCUGGUAGCGACUUUGUUGUGGUAAAAGCAAUGGUUAAGCAACAAGCAGAAUAAAAACUUAGUUAUUGAUGAUAUGAUGAGGUUUUUUAUAUAUUUGAUGGGGUUCAAGUACCAAAAUUUUGUUAGAUCUAAGAUGAAUUAGGUGAAAAUAGUGUUCCCACGUCCAUGGUUUUUUAUAUUUUUCUCCAAAUUCAAUUUUUCAAAAAAUGUUUAUGACAUAAAAUUAGAAAAAUGAUGUAUUUCUAAUGGGUUUUGAAUGUUAAUGAGGGCUAUUGUGUUUUUUUUCAUUUGAAGACCAAAUUUUGACAUUUAGAAUUACAUAUAUGGAUUCUAUUCAAAGGAAAUUAUUUGAAAGACUACCUUGAGCUGUUAAGGACUAUAAUGGAGUUGUUACUAGUAGCUAGAAUUCCACAUCAAUGGCUAAUGUACGGUUAGAAGUUAAGAGCAUGAUUUACUUAUUUAGGGCUAGGUUAGAAGUGAAGAGUGUGAUUUACUUAUUCAGGGUCUUGGUAAAAGAAUGAAGAUAAGAGGAAAUGGAAAAAAGAAAAAGGAAAAUUUGAAAAAUGACAAAGAAGAUGAUAAAUUCUAAAAACUCAUUCCACAAGCAUGUAAUACCUAACAGCCUUUGAGUUUUGAAUAAAACCCAUUCUUAUUCAUUAGUUAAUGAUGGUAAUAGUGGUAAUGAUUGUGGAAUUCAGACCAAAUGGUUAUUUGUUAAUGUGCAAAAUUUUGCUGGAUAUUGUCCUUUUUCUAUAAAGAAAUGGCAUGCAUGACUAUGAAACAGAAAAAAUGAUUUCUUUUUUGGUUGUAGAGAUGAUGACCGUUAAUGUAGUAGUGUUGGUCAGUAAAUUGGUUCUCGAUUGCUUAAGAAUUAGCUUAUAAUAAAUCUUCCCAUUUCACAGUGGCAUGUUUAAUUAUUUUUAUCAAAGUUUUAUUUUUUGGGUUCAAACUAAAUCAAAUUUUUUUUUUGGUAAUGCUUUACUUAGUAGCUAAAGAAUUUUAUGAAGAAGAAUAUACUAACAAAAAAUGAUCAUUGUUUGAGUUUAAAUAUGGGUGAAUUUCAGUUUAGACCUCAAAAUAGGCCAAAAUUUUAAUUCAGCCCUUGAAAGUGUGCAAGUUCCAAUCCAAUUAAGUCGUGCAGCCUAGAAAUCUUGCUCCAAAAUCCAAAUAAACUCUUCCAUACUCAUGUCUAGUUAAUAAUGUUGACCAAACUUUAGUGGUACACAAAAAUAUUAUCAAGCCCUUAAAAGUGUGCAAGUUCCAAUCCAAUUAAGUCGUGCAGCCUAGAAAUCUUGCUCCAAAAUCCAAAUAAACUCUUCCAUACUCAUGUCUAGUUAAUAAUGUUGACCAAACUUUAGUGGUACACAAAAAUAUUAUCAAUUUUUUUAGGGAUUUUAGAGUAAUUAACCUCCCAAGUAAACGAGCACAAAAGGACAAAAUACCGCCAUUCUAAUUCGAUUUAGGUAACCAUGGUCUAUUGAUUAACGUUAAAGUCUUAAAAUUAUCCCCCUUUCCCCUAACCUUUUGUUUAUAAUAUUUUAUCCUAUUUAGCUCACUUAAGUAAGAAGUGAAUUAUUUUAAAGUCCUAAAAAUUAGAUAAAAUUUCAUUCUUAUCACUAAAUUUUUGUUAAAUGGUAUUAACCAAGCAUGAAUUGAUGAAAGGACUCAAGGUUCGAAUUUGAAGGGUUUAAUUUGGGUAAAUUCCCUUUUGACCCCCUAAACUACACCCUGUUUCCCACUUCAAUCUUUAAACUUCUAAAUGGGACACUUAAGUCUCCAAACUACUGAAUCCAUCCCAAUUAAGUAAAAUCAUUUACGGAUUCCACAGGAUCAUCAGGGUUUUUCGAGCGUGCAAAACAAGCGCCACUGACCAAGGACGGGGAUGAAAAUUCAGAGAAAAGAUAUAAAAAAUAAAUAAAUUUAUUUAGCACAAAGGAUGGAAACUUUCCCUCCUUUUAUCAAGCACAAUCGGGUCAUAUAAUUGACCCGAUCCAAUUCAUAAGCUGCGGAAGAGAUGUGCUCUAAUAAAAAAGAAAGCAAUUGGCUGAAUAUCGAAAUGAGGGGUAAGAACUAAAUGGUCGAGAGCUUUUGGAAAUCUGAAGAUAAGAAAGAAGACAAAGGAGAGAUGGUUAGGGACACAUGCAACUGUGGAAAACAAGCAUUGAUGAUGACAUCAUGGACAAAUUUAAACCCAGGAAGAAGGUAUUGUCGAUGUCCAAAUUACAGGGUGAUUCCAUUUCCAUUAUAUCUGUUUGCACUUCUUCCCCUAUGGUUUUGAUUUGUAUGUAAUGCACCUAAGUAAACUUGUAUUUACUCUCUCAACGGUGUUGUUAAUGUAGGAAUCAGGGGGAUGCAGGUAUUGGGAUUGGGUGGGUCCUGAGAUAUGUCAAAGGUCGAAGGAUAUAAUCCCUGGACUGAUAAGAACAAAAUACAAAUUGGAGUCUGAGAUUGAGAGGUUGCAAGAGAACUCAAAGCUACAAGAAGCAAAACUAAGAAGGCUGAAGAUGUACUUGUUUCUUCACUGGGUUGUUGCUGUUGUAUGGAUCCUUUUGUUCAACUCUGGGCCAUGAAGGUCAUCAUUAGAGUUUGACAAGAAAAUGUCCAUGUAUGUGGGAAAAGAAGCAACGGUGUAGUAGAGUGCAACAUGCAAUGCAAGGCACAAUGGUGCUAUGUAAUUGGGAUGGAAAAGAUGUAAUUUUGUCUCUCUGUAUAAGCUGCGGUUUCUGGUGUAAUGUAGCUAUGCUUGAAGAAGCACUAGGAGCUGACAUGCUCUUUUGUUGGAACUUUAGGGACCUAAGUGUCCCUAUCUAAUGAAGUUUUGGGAUUGAACCAUCCGUUUUUGUAUAGUUGAGGGACUAAAGUGUCCCAACUUAUUGAAUUACUUUUGGCAGUAAACAUUAAACCUGUAAACAUAUGUAACACCAUCAACUGUUUGACACAAUAGAUGCAAUCGAAAAUGGACUGAAUUUGAUCAUUUAAGAAGAAGGCAUUGAUAGGGUGCAUUUUAGUGGGGUAUUUUGGGCAUUAUUGCACAAUUAUUUGACUAAAUAUUUUCAUUAAUUGGGUGGAUUCUACUGAUAUUUUGUUUUGAUGCUAACUGCAAGAAUUGGUACUAAAAAGUGCUUGAAAUCGAAAUUUAGAAGAUUCGUCGCACGGGAGCCACUUCAAGUACUGGGGUCCGCUCGAGAAGCUGAAGAAACUUAAUUGUAAUAGGUAUUAUUUUAUUCUAUUUUGAGGGAGUCUUGUUUUAAUUUUGGAAAAAUAACAAUUUUCCGGAGGGGAAAAAUCCCUUCUUGGAACUUCGGUUGACAACAGAGGCCAGAGUUAACCUUUCGUCUGGCUUAGGUUUUCUUUUCGGGUUUUUUUUCAUUGGGAAGAGGGGAGGAGCCGCAGCUUUGAAAAAACCAUCUGAGGAGACAAGAGCCUCCAUUCUUGACUUUGUAUUGCUUUUCGUCUUUCGUUGACUUCAGAUUUCUUGGGCUUUUCCAAUUGCAUUGACCAAAUAGGGAAAUUAAACAAUUGAAACCCAAUCUCUCGUAUGUUUUGUGAGGAAAGAAAGAAAGCAACGAGGAGCCGCAAUUGUGGACCUUUGGAAAUGCUUUUCAUUCUGGCUUUGACCGAAGGAAAUUGAAAGUGCAUGCUCUCUGUACGAUUAGCUUUGGAAAUCAAUUGAAAGCAACCAUAAUCAAUUGUUUCUUUUUCUUUUUUCGGUUGACCGAAGUGAACGAGGGUCAAUUUCUUCCGUUUGCUUUGAUUAAAGAAUCGACGGCUUCCUCCAGCUUUGCCCGCAUGGCCUGUACUCUAAUUAUGGGGAACUAAACCCCUAAUUCUAGUCAAGGGGACAACUGAUGAUUUGGCUCGGCAAUUACUGUGAGAUCGAAUUUAUUUUAACUGUUUCCUCCAUUUAUUAAUAUUUAUAUGUUUCCCGCUUUUAAUUGUUAUAACUCUUGUGUAUGAUUGAUUAGUGCGCAAUAAUUAAUUAUUCAUAUAAGCUAUUUUACUAAAUAGGGAUAAUUGAAUCCGUAAUUGUUCAUUAUCUUUAUCUCAGUAGCAACUGGCGUAAUUGAGUUUAUGUCAGGGGAACAUACAAUCUAACUUAAACAAACCCUCGUAGCGUGUUUGUUAGUUAGGAUUGGGCCUUUCUAAUUAUUAAUGCAAUCUAGAAAUUAAAUCCUACAGUCGUACCUAAGGUUUUUUUUGGGUUAGAAGAAUAGCUAACGGUCGUACCUUAGCUAUCGAUAAAUUAAGAAAGGGUUAGUUGUUUAUCGCGUGCAUGACAACUAUAACUACUCUAUUAAUAAAUGUUGGAAUUAUUUUUGAAUCAAUGAUCAGUUGCAUGAACCAUUUCUGAAGUGCACCAUUGGCUAGAGUUUCUCUUAGUUAUUUCUUUUAAUUAAUUAUUUUCUGCAUUUAAUUUGUUUAGUUGGCAUUUAAUCCCAAAAACCCCCCUAUAAAUCUCGAUUUGAAAAGAAACAAAUUUCUUGCUAGUCCCUGAGGAGACGACCCUGCUUGCCACUGUCUACUAGUUAGUGAAUUCAGUUAAAUAAUUAAUUCAAGUAUAUCGGAUUAAACAAACUCUUCGGGAACAGGGUGAAUCAAGUAACCAAUUGCACACCUAGAGUCCCUGCUCCAGUACUCGAAUUGAUUAUUGACUGCUUUAAGUGGUAGUUAGGUUUUAUUUAUUAUCAUUGCACAGGUUCAGCACCUGUCAGGCAUGUUUAGCCUUACACCAAAAGAUCAGAAGUUUCACAAAUAUACAAAACAACAGCUAGAAUUUCUUGGCAUUUACAAUAUCAUUUGCCAUUUACAAAACAUAAUGUGAACGAUUUAUAGCAACAGAAAUUCACAAAACCCAGCUAAACAUAGAGUUGUACAUUGCCAUUGCUAGUUGAAUGAUUCACGUGACCUGCUGCUGCUUGCAAUGUAAACAGAUUUACACACAUGUUCCCCCUCCAAGUGAAAGGGGUUGGUUGAAGUCGUCCGCUGACACGGCUAGUUGAACCGAACUCUUCUGUCUGCCUAUCAUCAAUGUAUGAGUCUAAUGGUUUCAUUGUUAUCCCUGGACUGUGUCAAUAAAAUUUGUCACCAGUAUUGGAGUUCAACUGCAUGUCAGGAGAUAAGAAGUAGUUAAUAGGAGAGUGAACAUAUUCCCAUCUCACACAGCAACAAAUGCAAAUUUCAAAGCACUUACAUGUCCAGAUUCAGUUCUCUUUGAAGCUGUCUCAUAUGGGUUAAUCAGAGAAUCAAUCGCAGCUCUGUUGAGUCCAAAUUCUCCAGUCAUGUCUAGUGAGUUUCUAAAGGUCCAUUACCUCAACUUGCAACCUUUCUUUGAAUGGUCAGAUUUCCUGCAAAAUGAGCAUUUUCUUGUGCCCUUGACUGGUUGUUCUCCACCAAUUUUCUGUUCAGUCUGACUUUGAGGAGCAGCUGUGCAGCUCUCUUGUGUACUUAAUUGAGUGACAUUAGCAGUACUUGGACCAGUACUAGUAUGCCUUGUUUCAUUUCUGAUGGCAUCUGUUUGUUGUGUACUGGUCCCACUAGAUUCCUUAUCCAUAUGCCCAUCUCCUCCCUUUUCUACUGGACCAGUUUGCUGAUUUUUUUCAGGACAGCUCCUUCUAUUAUGGCCGUAUUUCUUGCACAGACUACAACUUAUCUUAGUGCCAACCUUGCUAACUUUGUGAGGUUUAGAUGGAUUCACACAUGACUACCUAUUCCUAUCUUCAUCUGGUCCCUUUUUCCUUACCUUUUUGGCCUUCCAGGUGAUUUCCCAUAUUUUGGAAGCUUCAUUGGUGGUAAAUCUACUGGGGCUCAUAGAUUAGGACCAUUGAUUAGAUUCAACACAGGUUCAUAACUCUUCAUGUAUGUACUCUUCCAAUAGAAGGGGGCCACAUUUUUUUUCUGAUUUGUCACGUCUCCUAUUAAAAGCAGCAACUACAUGGCCAUAUGGGAUUCCCCUCAGUUGCCAUUUUCUACAAGUGCAGGUCUUGCUCCCUAAAUCAACGACAAACUGGUCACCAAAAUGACAGCAUAUCUGAUACUUCAUUGUGCCAGCAUAAUAGCAGAUGCACAUGCAUUGCUCUUUCUUGGCCUUCUCAAGAAUGUCAAAAAUUGCUGGACAUAAGAGAUCUAACCAAUAAAAGGGCAAAUUAGAUAUUGAACAUAGUGUAACUUUAAAAAUGAUGAUAAAAAACAGUAAGCAAGUAGCUUAACCUUCAUGCUUGGACAUUGCCUUUCUAUUCUUCUCCAUUCUCUUCAACAAAUAUAAGUAAAUAGUUUGCAACAUGCCUAUGAUAGGCAGUGAUCAUGCCUUUAAAAUAACUGAAUUAAAAGAUUCACACAUAUUAUUAACCAAUAUAUCGCAAUCCAAUCCAGUCUUGAAAUGAGCCCUAAACCAAGUAUUGGGGUCCUUUUCAUCCAACCAUGUAUAUGCAUCCUUUGAUUCUUGCUUCAUCAUCUCUAUUUCUGCUUUGAACUGAGUCAUAUAUGAAGCCCUUGCACAUCUUCAAAGCCUAUCUUUAAGAGUAAGACCUCUAUGCAUUUGCUUGAAGUUAGUAUAAAGGUGUUGGACACAACACCUAUGCUCAGCUUCUGGAAGUUUGUCCCUAACAGCCUAAACUAUACCCUUUGCAACACAACACAACAAUCACAUAUGCCACACUAAUAUCAAUAGUUUAACAUAAAUAGUUAAUGGAUAACAAAUUAAUAAAUACUACCUUCUGUUUGUCAGUCAUAAUGCACCAUGUACUAGAGUCUGAAAUUUGUAAAUCUUGUACAAGCAAUCCUAAAGACCAACUCCAGUUAUCAUAAUUCUCUACCCCAACAACUGACAAAGCCAACGGAAACAUUUUGUUAUCACCAUCCAUUCUAACUGCUAAUAAAAGCUGCCCAUCAUAUGGACCUUUUAGGAAGCAACUAUCUAACCCAAUCCACUAUCUACAGCCAGCUAAAAAACCUCUCUUUAUUGGUUCUAAGCGCAUAUACAGCCUUCUAAACCUAGAAACACCAUCUUCAUCUAUAUCAGUCUUAACAAACACAGUAAAUCCCGGAUUUGCCCUCCUCAAUUCACCACAAAUGUUUCCAACAUGGUGUACUGUUUGUCAUGGAACCCCUGAAUAGUGUCUCUCACUUUUCUAAGUGUUCUAUACCCUUACUUAAGGCUAAAAUCAAUAUUUAACUCCUCAAUUACUUUGGUCAUCAACUCAUGCACUGUCAUAGAUGACACUUUCCUUACCUCAUCAACAAAUAGUUUGCUAGCCAACCUAGAUGUCAUUUUUUAUUGUGGAACACUCUUCCACAAGUGUGCUCAUCACUAAGUGCUUUUAUUUGAAAGGUGUUUUCAUCUUGCAUUUUAGACCCAAAUAGCUGCUAGUCACAAUUUCUGCAUUUCAGUCUCACCCUACGUGUGUCAUUUUUCUUGAAACACACAUCUCUCCCAUCCAUUAUUGCUUGGAUUCUUACAGCCAACCUGAAUGUAAUGACUGAUGUGAACUUCUGACCAACUUCAAACUUUGGUUUCUUCAUGUCUGUUAACUGGAAAUUUAGGCCUCCUUGUUUUACUAUUCCCAUCUUCAUCAGAUUCACUUUGACUCCUCAAUUCAAAUGAAUCAUCCAAGUCAUAUUCUGAUUCAAUGUCAUCAAUAUUAAUCAUAUCAGGGUCAUCACAACAGUUAAUUUUAAUGGGUGGGUCUCUCUUCCUUCUUGGCUUUUUCUUUCUUUGCUCACUACAAUGAGAAGGACCAGGUUUAUUGCAAUGCGAAGGGCCAGCUUCAUGUGCACCUAGGUCUACUCCAAUAGUUUGACCAAUUUUGAUGGCUUCAUCUAAUACGUCAUUGUCUCCCCCUGGAUCCUCAUAGUCUGAAUCUGCCAUCUUCUUAUCAACAUUGACUCCAUUUUCUUCCUCUUCUUGUCUGGCAAUAUCACAUGAUAUUUCCCCUACACCACCUUCAUUGCUGGCUGCCUUUUGUGCAUUUUCAUUGCAAUUUUUACAUUCAUUUUCUUCUCUGACUUGUGCAUUUAAAGCUUCAUCAUAACCUUCAACAUCUUUUUGUUCCUUUGCAGCAUCACUCCUAUUAUCAGCUUUCUCUUCUACCAAAUGUCGUGCCCCAUUUUUUUGAGAUAAGAAUAAAAGAUGAGUUUAAAAAAAAUGGCUUUUGAUUCAAUUUUUGAUUGGAAAAUGACUUUUUGAUUUAAAAAGAAAAUGAAAAAUAUGAGUCUAAAUGGGACUUGAAAAUGUGACGAUUUGACCCAAAAUAUAGUUUAAAAAGGGUUAUUUGAAUUAAAAAUCGGAAUCGCCACUUGGUAUAGAGUUAAGGUGUACCAAGUCACCUAAAAGUGAAUUUUUAAAGAAAAGUAGAAAACUCUUUUCAAACGAACCCCAAGUCUACGAAAAUCAGAGAAAAAGAUUCGGGAGUCACAUUUGAAGAAAGAGAAGGCAAGGAUAAGAAUCCAAGGCACCAUUUCAACCUAGCCAAGGCUAGUUGCGUGAUUUAGUCAAAGAUUUUCUUAUAUUACCCUUAAGAUUUAUCACAUUUGGAUGUACUAUAUGAAUGCAUACCCUAGACCUAAGAGGGUGUCAGGGGGGUUCGAAAUGUAUCUUCAAAGCUUACUUGGUACCAAUCACAUUAAUUGUGACGCCCAAUAAAGACUUUUCGAAAAAAUCACGAAUAAUGCAAGUCAUGAGACUCGAAAGAAAGGAAAAGUAAAGAAAAUAAUAAUAUACAAAUGUGUAUGACCUAAAGGAAUGCAUCAUAAUGGGUGCGGGGGACUAAUGUUCGUGACUCAAUUUUCCCUUUAAUAGAGGGAAUACGAGUGUGCUAAGGCUAGAAAGCCAAACUCGUCAAUAUCCCAUACUCAAGGGGUUUUUUCUAGUCUAACCAAGCAAAUGUACUAACCUAGGUUUAAUACUUAGAUGAAACGCAAGUCUAAUGUCAUGUUUCAUACAAAGGGGUAAGUAAUAUACAUAUGAGGGAAAAUAUGGGGGAAGGGAUAUACGUAGAAGGAGGGAUGUCAUGCAAAAAAAUGAUAAAAGACCCUAAAAAGUGAAAACAUGCAUGAGAUGGAGUGAUUUUAUCACACAAUCAUGAUCUAACGCUCGAGGGGCUCCUAAGGGUCUAGCAUUGGACUAGCCCUUUUACUAAUACUCUCUCACAAGCAUUGGACUUGUGAGGGCUCGAGGGGAAAACCAUGACUAGCAUUGGACUAGCCACGGUAACGUGCAUUCAUCCACACAAUCAGAUACAAUAUUAAAACAAAUAGACAUGCAAAACACAUAGUUUCACAUAGCACGUAACACAUAAGCAUGCUUGUCUAGAUGCAGAAUCCUAGGGAAACGAUUAAACACAUAGGCAUAUAGGCACACACAAGCACAUAGCACACAAGCCCUAUCUAUUACAAAAGGGGAUGCCUACUACAGUCUAAAGGGGAGAUAAAAUAAAUAAAUAAUUAAAAUAAAUAAAUCUUUAACUAUUACAAAUUUGGCAUCCAAGUGCCUUUCAAAUGAGCAAAAUUGAACUACAAUAAAUAUUCAAAACUAAAGCCAAUAAGUAAGUAAAUGAUAAAGAUAAAACACUUUCAACAGGCAUGCAAUUAAACACAUAAAGUCAUAUAGGGCAUGUAGGAUCCAAUAAAGUGAGAAAUAAGGGAUAAAACGUACCUCCCUUGAGGUGGGGCCCUAAUUGAAUGAAAUCACUUAUUUACCCUCCAAAAUAAAAGAAAAGGUCAAGGCAUCUCAAAUAAUCACGUUUAUACGAAAUUGAAUCAUUAAAUGCAUUCAAAUGCCUAAACAGUCCAUAUUCACAAGAUUAGGAUCCAAUUGAAAGGAAAAAGAAAGUUCAAGGGGGGCAAUUUGAUUGAUUUUUUAAUUAUUUGGGCCAUAGUAUAACAAAAAGGAACUUGGGGGGUUAAAGUGUAAUUUUUAGAAUUACUUUCCAUGCAUGCUACGAAGAAACAAAUUCUCAUCUCUGGUUUCCCUUUCUCUGCAGCUUACUGUGUUUCAUUACCAACCCAAACAUUACCAACAAACAUCGACUUUUGAAUCAAACGAUCACAAGACACUCCCCCAAUCAUCAACCAAGCCAAAUAUUACAUUUGUGUUGCAAGACCGAAUGAGAAAAAUCUGGUUUAGUGAUUGCUAGAAAAACAAAGUGCAGCAGUAGUUUUCGUAACAGCAAAACAAGAAAAUGCAGCAACAAUCUUUAACUCUUGUUUGAAAUGCCAAAAACAAAACGUUCAAGAAAUCAUGCUUAAGCUCAGACCCUGAAACAAACAAGAUGCCAAACAUGCUAUGAAUCAAACACUCAUCAGAGAAAACGCAUGCCAAGCUGAAGUUUUCCUUCCCACAACACUUUGUCUUCGACUUCAGCAUAUAGGAAACAACCAUGAAUAGCUUGCUGAAGCCUCCAACUUCAACUCUUAAAGACAUCAAAUUCCAAAUCAGAAAAUGAAAACCAAAUGCGUGGUUAAUAUUCGGGUCCCUCCCAAUUCAAAAUGUAUUCGCAAGGAAAUAAACUUCUGCACUGAUUUGCUUUUUUUUUUAACUUUGCAGGUGACCUGAUAGCAUGUGAUAAUCUUAACCAGAAAAACAAUCUCAAAUAUUUAACAAGCUUCCUAAACUCAUCACUGAAAUAUAACAUUGAAUGCACAAACGAAGGAAAAAAAUCUGAGCAAAGGAGGAAUUCAUCAGACCCCAGAUUCAUUCAUUAGUUUCAAAACUAAUGACUUUCCAAACACAGCUUUAACACCAGAUGUUGUUCAUGGCAUUUCACUCAAGCAUAGACAACAAAAAACAAGCAAGUCAAACGAGUCAUAGCUUCAGCAAAACGAAUACGUGAAAAUGACAGCCACUACAACCCAAAGUAAAACACAUGAAUUGGUCAAACGUUGCUGCAACAGAUUUGAGCAAGCCGAGAGUUGCAAACCUGUUGCAUUAGAAGCUCAAUCUAUUUCUAAGAAUCCAGAGCUACCCAACUACGAUAAAGGAUCUCACGAACAGGGGCAUAAGGCCAUAUUCAUCAGAAAUCAGCAAUAACAUCAUGUUCAUCAGAAAUCAGCAACAACAAAUCACAACCAAGAAUAAACGAACUAGAAAGCUGCAGAUCCUUACACAAAUAUCACCAGAUCUUCACAAAAUGGUAUGAAAAUGACAGGAAGAAAGGCUGGAGUUACCUACAAAUGUCGGUGAAAUAAAGCAAACGUGAAAUAUGUCCGAAAAAUGCAUGCAAAUUCCAGAAAUGAGAUUGAGAAUGCCGGCGCCGCAGAACUUCAGCGCUGAUGAAGUCGUCACCUUGGCUCCUGAUUUGGCUAUCUUCCUAUGGUUUUCCCUUCAAAAUUUCUGAAUGAAAAACACUCCCAUCACAUUGUAGAUGUUCCAGAUUACCCUAAAUCUCCAAUAAGGAGCCAAAUCCAUAGAAAAAAUUGCCUCCAAAGACAACAGAAAAUCAGCCUGGAUAGCAGAUUUUCUGGAAAAUUUUCUCUUCCCGCCGCCGCUCUUUCCCCUCGUUUUUCUCAGUUUUCUCCUCUAACUCUUCCCAGAUCUAACUCUCUCCCUCUCUUAUUUUGGUUUUCUUCCCUAUCCCAGAAAGCUCUCUAGUUUCCCCGGGCUCCUUUCUUCUUCGUGUUCCCUUUUCGCAAACCUCAGCCGAAGCCUCCCUCUUUACUUCGGUCCUCCUGUUUUUCCCUCAACCAAAGACGAAAGCCCUCUGUUCUUUUCCUUCCCUUUUUCGUUUCCUAUGUAGCUCCUCCGAAAGCUUCUCCCUCAGUUUUUUCUUUUUCCUUCUGCUUUUUCUUCCUCCUUCAGUCCAACGCUUUUUCUUUGUUUUCGUUCCUUUUCCCCGCAGCUUCUCUCUUUUCACCGUUUUCCCUCCUUCCGGGUCUCUAACUCAGCCGCCCUACUGUUUUUCUUUCUGUCAACCUCAGCCCUCCUCCUUUCUAGUUUCUCUCAGCCGUCCUUAGAUGCUCCCUUAGUUCUCUGCUGUUAUCUUUCUUUUCCCGUCGUUCUCCUUUUUGCCCCCCUUUUUCUCAGCCGC
rnacentral:lncRNA from 1 species